UAUUUUCUACAUCCAUGGGCAAAAUUUCAGUUCUAAGGUAGUGCAUAUGGUACUGAUGUUCCAGUAGAAAAAUGAUUUGAUUGAAUCAAACAAAAGUAAAAAUGAAAAUUGAGAAGCUGAAACUAAUCCGAGCAAACUUUCAUUUGUAUUAAUUCAUGUGGACCUCCUCGACAAAGAUAGGAAAGAUAAUUACAAAGAAUAAUAACAAUAAUUUGUCCUUGUGCUAUCACGCUCACUCUCAAAAUUUGUACAUCAAUUAAUGUUUGAAGCCAAGGUAGUGAGGAACAUGAAGAGCCUUGAUCCAAUCAAGGCCAGAUCGAGGUCCAGCCUUAAGGAACUCACCGGCUGUGAAUUGGGUAGCCUCAGCCCUGCUAAUGACACCACGGUAACCCUUCCACUUGAUCCUUCCUGCAGUGUUGGCACCGGGUCCAGUGUUGGCAUGCUCAGCAUAGUACAAGGUGUCAAGGGCAAAGCUUCCAGCCCAUGGGAACCAUCCCUCUGGAUGAAUGAAGUCACCCAAAGUAGAUUCCAUCACCACGGUCCUUGAGUACUCCUUCCAUGGCCUUCCGAGGUAAGACUUGAUCUUGAACCUCACAGGGAACAAUGCGGCUUCUGGGACAAUCUCACAAUCUUGGAUCACAAUACCUGUGUCCAGGAGCGACGAAGCAAUAGAAAAUAAGUAAGGUUGACAGACUAUAAAUAUUAAUUUACUAAAAAAAUGUUUUGUAGUAGUUAGUUAUGUCCUUACCUGUGGGCAUGUUCUUUGUUGGUGUACCGUCUGCGGUCACAGUGUUGAACUGGUUGUCAUUGGGCUUCCUCACGACGAUGAUGGAGUGUUGGAUCAAGGUGGGGGAGGUUCCAAAGAUAAAGUCAAUGGUACCGGAGAUGACACAGUUGCGGUAGAAUUGCCUGUUGGUCUGAACGUACAAGGUGUCUUGGUAACCCAAGAUGUGGCAGCCCACGAAAGCUGACUGAUCUCCUUGGUUUCUCAAUGCCACAGCUUGGUGACCGUUGGGACCGGCGGUGUUCUCGAAGGUAAUGGCCUUGGCAAUGAAUCCAGGUGCCUGGUUGGCUGCAUGCAUACAUGUAGAGAUAAAUUAGUGAAUCAUAAUUAUAUGAAAAAUGAUUCAUAGACAUAUGCAUACUAAAGUCAUCAGAAAUAAUGAAAUGUGAUCAGAAGGAAGCGGUAAGUUACCGAAGGUGGCAGUUUGCAUGGUCUUCACACCAUCAGCAAAGUUCUUGCGACCGGUGAUGAUGGUCUUUGUAGGGCCAUCACCGUACAUGAGAAUGUUAGCAGCGCUCUUGGGAACAGUGAUGUACUCAUUAUACACACCAGCCUUAACAUAAAUAACAUAUCUUCCCUUAAAUCCCUUGGGGUAUGAGGCAAUAGCAGCUUCGACGCUCUUGAAUUGACCAGAACCAUCCUUGGCAACCACGACGUUAGGCUUAACACGUGACCUCCACCCUCUUCUCUGAAGCCCAGACAAAAGCUUGCGGUCAGAAGCAGAGAACCAUGAAGGGUACCCUUCAUUGUCAACAUCCUCACUGAGAAGACGACGAGAAGCAGGUUUGAGAUCCAACUUCAAGUUGAACUGCUCAAGAAUUUUGGUCAUGCUAGUGACAAUGUCAAGGGUGAUGGCGGUGAUCCUCUGAACAUGGUCCAUGCUCUCGGUAUGGAGUUGCUCCUUGAUCUGCUUCUCACCGUCCUUGUCAUUGUCAAAACCUUCCAUGCAUGCUUGUUGGUACGAGAUAACAGCGCCCAACCAAUUCCUGAAAUCGGGGAUCUGGUUGUGCACGCCUUGGAUGUUGUUGUCGCGAACCAGGGUCGUGGAAAGGUCAAGACUUUGCAUGGCGGAUUGCAAGAGGUCCUUGCAAUCGUCAAGGGCCAUCUUGAUACCGUGGUCCUUGUUCCCGUACUCGGUUGUGAGUCGGUCGCUCAUGUUGAAGGCUUUGAUGACGCUGUCACUGGCAGCUUUCACCGCAGUCGCGAUGUAAGCCUUUGGAUCGGCGGCAUCAACCCCUUUCACGGAGCUGAGGGUAUCAUGGCAGAGCUUCUGGUCAUCGGUGUUUUGGCAAAUGGUCCUGACAGACCUCUGUUGAGUUUGAACCUCAGGGUCUGCAUUAUUGUUAUGAACAGAGACGACAAUGCCAAUGGCAACUCCUACUACGAGGAUGAGAGAAACAGCGGAGAUAAUUAUUUUCCCCUUCAUUUUUUAUUUUUUUUUUACAAAAACUUCUCUUCUUUUGAUAAUGGUUGAAAAGAAGGUAAGUUUUUAUUUUUUCCUCCCUCUGUUUCGUUGGGGAGGCUUUAUUUUAUGGAGAUCCUGCUUAGUAAUGGAGAUGAAGUUGGGUUUUUAUAUGUGUGCUUCGAGGUUUUUCAACCAAGGAAAUAAAAGGAAAGUGUAUAUUUAGCAAUGUCUCGUUGUGGUCUUCGUGAAUGGCAGGCAUAGCAUUGUUGUUGGGUCUGAGUUUUCGGAAUGGAUUGAAACACAGUGCUAUUUUUCUAAAGUGUGGUGUUUUACAAAUUAUCUAGCAUUGGUGGUGUCUAAAGAUAGUUGAAGGAGACCAUUUUGAACCUCAAGUUGCCUAUGUUCUAGCAAAGCCACUGGGUUAUUUUUGUUCUGGCUUUGAAUGGCUUCGGAUCAUCACUCGCUUCUGUGUGUUUCAAAGUGGGAAUGUUUAUGAGUUAAUGCAAUUUUAAUUUUGCAAAAUACGUGUCUUUAACUUGUUACGCUUGUUAAUUUAUGAGGAGAUCAUAUUAACAAUAAGAAAUGUCUUUUGUUAAAGAUUUUAUAACUUCAUGCUUUCAUCAUGCCCAUAUAAACGUAACAUUAAAAUGAAAAUUGAGAAUCGGGGUGCCUAAAGCUAUUAUUUUAGUGCCUCCCCCUUGGGCUGAUUAUGCAUUUGACCCUCUAACAAAUAUCAUUUAGUGGUCCACUGUUGCACUAUUAUCCUAGUAGGCCAUAGGGGUGAACAUGGGCCGGGUAAAUCCAAUGAACCCGCCCAACCCAAUCCGAUCCAAUAGAAAAAAUGCGGGUUGGAUCGGGCAAUCGGGUUAGUCGGAUGAAUUUUACUACAACCCAACUAAGUUCGGAUCGGAUUUCAGAUUCAGUUCAAAUCCAUCCAACCCAACCCAUAAUCCAUACAUAUAAUAAUAAUUUUUAUAAUUUUACUCAUACUUUGAGUGCUAGUGUCGGAGUGAUGACUUUUUGAAACUUUGAGACUUAAGUAUUUGUAGUUAUUUGUCAUAUUUGAACUUAGAGUAUUUGUUCGUAGUUAUUUGUUACAUGUUUAUAUAUAGUUAUUUGGCAUGUUGGAGAAAUCUAAAUUCUAAGUGUCAUGGCAUGACAUUUAAUGUUGUUUUUCACUUUUUUGAUACUAUUUAUAUUAGAUUGUUUCAUGUCAUUUGGUAAUGAAGUUUUAUGUUUUCAUGAUAUUUGGCUAUAUGUCAUUUAUGUGGUAUUAUUUCUAUAAUUUUUUAUAUCUUUUUCAUGCUAUUUAGUAUUAUAACAUAUUUAGUAUUUUUUAUCUUUUUCUGUAUUUAUAAUAAUUUUUGCAAGAUUUUUUUAAUAUUUCAUAUAUAUUAUUAUUUUAAUAUAGUGACCCAAUAAAUCCAUCCAACCCAAUCCAAACUUCGUCGGGUUGGUUCGGAUCGGGUCCGAAGAAGAAAUUCGUGAAAUCCAACCCAACCCAACCCAGACAAUUUUGAUCGGUUCGGAUUUUAUUUUGACUAAAAUCCAUCCAACCCAACCCAUGUGCACCCCUAGUAGGCCCCAUCCUGGCAAGGCCUAAAUAAAUAGUAUAUGCUAAAAUGGGUUAUCAAUUUUUCUCUUCUACAUUUUUAUGAAAAGGCAUCAAAGUAUGAGAAAAAUUUGGGUACUCUAUUUGUUCAUUACACCAAAUAUUCAAUACUCUUGUAUAAAAUUAGUGCUAAUUUAAUUCAAAUAAUAUGAAUUACCAACUCUAUAUGUGUUACCAACCCUAAACCUAAACACUGUUUUGGUGGGCCCAAGCUGCCACAUAGGAUUUAAGCAACCCAAACAGAAUUCGCUCCAACCAUGAUUGCUUAUUUUACUUUUGAUUGGGUCUCACUGUACCUCAUAUAUUUGUAUUAUUUCAAGGUCAAGAGACUAUUCAACUUCAUGAAUGAUGAAGGGUGAAGGGUCUAGGGGUCGAACCCUGAGGAUAACUAAUUUACUAACAUUACUAAUAACUAACAUUUGUCUAUAAAAGAAUGAAUGAAAGAGAAAAUAUGAAUUUUUUAAUCAAAAAGGAAGAAGAAAAAAAAAAGCAAUCGUUGCUUAAAUAAGCAAUGUUGCAAAAGUUUAAGCAAUCAUAUUGCUCCAAAAUAAACAACGUUGCUUAAGUGUUCAAACUGGAUUAAGCAACCACCAUUGGAGAUGCUCUUAUAAAUAUUAUUCAAUGGUACACUGUUAUAUAAUUAAUCUAGUAGACCACAUACUGACAUAGCCUAAAUAAAUAUAUUCUAAAACGGGUUCUAAAUUAUAGGUAAAAUUUCUCGCACCCAUAAAUACCUGCGAGUUCAAAAAUGGAUUAACUUUUUCUUUACUCGCUUGCUAAUGGGGCCAAGGUCGACCCAAGACCCAUGUGACCCAAGCAAGGGCUUUAGACCCUAAUUAUUUUUUUAUUAAGUAGAAAAGACAUCUCAUUCAUAUGAUAAGUCCAAUACUAUGUUUGUAAAGAAGGUCUCAAAUAAAUAUUAAGGCCUCAAUUCAAAAAACAAAACUCAAUAGUCUCCAUGUAAGGGAAAAAAAAAAUCUACCCCACGUAAACAAAAAUUAAUAAAGAAACUUUUUAAAGUAAAAAAGUCUCCUUUAAAAUUUGUAUUAGACCCCAUUUAAAAUUGGGCCGGCCCCGACACUAAAUCUACUCCACCAAAUUUCUUUCACACUACCGAUUAUACCUUCUUUAGGCUUUUGAUGAUCUUGGUUUUUGAACUCCUUUACCAUUUGAAAGUGAGGUCACACUAGAAUGAGAGAUUGAUCUUACGACUAUCUAUCGGUUAUCAUUGUGGAAUAUCUAACUACUCAAGUGAAGCCGAUUUAUAGUGCUCUGUUCGUAAAACAGAGGAAAAACAGGGGAGUUUAAAAGGAAAAGUAGUUGGUGGGUGGGGUUAAGACUUAACACACAACGUUUUCGUUUAUUAUGGGAUGAGCCAGAAAAACACCAAAUGUUGUCAUUAACAGUGCGGUUGUGUUGCUUCACAAAUGGAUGCCAAUGAUGCCAGAAUCUUGCUGGGUUUUCCACCCAAUUCACAUCCAACUCCAUCCCAGGUUUUUUCUAAUUCUUUCAAUCGUGAUCGUUUGAUUCAUAAUUCGCUCCCUUCAACAACUCAAUUUCAGUUUUUGAGCAUGACCCUUUUUUCUAUUCCCUAAUUCUCAGUGGUUUGAUAAUUAAUUUCAUUUCAUUACUUAGUGAUAAUUGGGAAGUGAUCAACAUUUUUUUGUUAUCCUAGAGUAAUCUUGAUGAUAAUUUGGAAGUGAUAAUUGUGAAUUUUUUUCUCUUUUUGUUUAGGUCAAAUCAGCUUACAAAAAGAAAGUGUGGGAAUCUCACCCUGACCUAUUUCCAUCUCAUGAGAAGCCUCUUGCUGAGUCCAAGUUUAAACUGGUAAGCUGUUCAAUUAAUUUUGUUAUUCCAUUUUCUGUUCAAAUGAUGAAAUUUUUCAUAACCAUGAUUGUGAAUUGUGAUGUUGGGAUUGGGAACUUGAUAUGGAGUUGCACUAUGACAGUGAAACAUUAGUUGUAAGCUUAGUAUAUCAGUGUGUUUCACUAAAUCACACAUGACCAAUUGUGUAGUGUAUGAAGAUAAUGGUCAUUCAUCUGUAUUCCCCUCACCGCGUUCUUUCUCUCGGUAUCCGGAAGCAAUGCCGGUGACUGACUACGAAUUGGUUUUGUUGGGACAGCUAUUUUGGCCAUUGUCAUAUUUCCUGCUGUUUAAUGGAAGGAGUAAUUGAAAUUUUAUGUUUUGCUGCAGAUUUCUGAAGCUUACGCAUGUCUACUGCCCGGUAAUUCUCCAUAUCCUUUCAACUUGUGGAAUAAAUAUUUCAAAAUGUCUCGUGAUUUGAAAUCCUGCACAGACAGUUAAAUUUAUUGACGAAACUUAAUGUGGAAGCAUGGUUUUACAAACCAUCAUAAUAUGACCCAAUUUCAGUAUUGAAUAAUAAGUAGGUCUGAACUCCUAAUCCUACCUGUCAUGGAAAUUUCUUUUCUUAGAGCUUACUAAAAUUCACAAGGAUAUACUUAUAGCAUCAUUAGUUAGCCUGUGGUCAACUCAAAAUGAGUAUAUAUUUGGAGCAGGCGACUAGAUUAUGGGAAAAGAACUUUGCAAAAGCUCCCUUUCAUUGUUUUAGCUUGUGUCUUUGAUAUUCUGUUAGUGAUCAGCAUUUAUAGCCAUUUUCAUGCUCGAAUGUCUAGCGUAAAUUUGCAUAAAAAUGCAGUAACAGGUCUGAAGUAAGCAUGAUAUCACAUUUUUUCCUAUUUUUUCCAAUACUUUGCCCAUCCUCCCCGGCCUUUAAUUUGAAUGAAAUCUUUCGGUUGUUGUCCAAGUACUCUGGCAGUUGAACGUAUGUACCUCUUCCUUUUUGUAUAUGGUGGUGACAAAAUGCAUUAAUAACAUGCUUGGAUCAAAUCCUUUUUCUUCAUAAUCAAUUCUGAAACUCAGAAGCGAUCACAUAAGCUUUUGACCAGAAUUAAUUAUGGCUUCAUAAUCAAUUGAAGAACUCUAGAAGAAUCUCAAAACAUGCACCAAGUUGUCUAACUCUAGAGCGAUAAGUAAUGUCCCUAUAUGUUUACAAUUCCAAAGAACUCAUUGUGAAUUUUUAUAAUUCAGAAAUAAAAAAAGGCAUGAUCUUCUCUUUAAGCUGAUGGAACAAGGAAUGCUAAUUUCCCUCCCUUGAAAGGGCCCUGAGCUUGUCCUUCUGCUUAUAGGGUCUUAAUAAAAAAUAAGAAAUGCAUUUGUUUAUAUUUGUUUUUCCACCUCUAAGUACUAAUAUAUAGAAUCUGUAACACAGGUGGCAGAGAAGCUUCAAGUUCAGGUAAUUCUGAAUCCUCCUAUGUGUGAUCUAAAACUAAUCCUUCUUUUUUCAGUUUCCUUAUUUAAAUGAAGCCUGAUUGUUGUUCAGUUGAAUAUUCAAGAGUUGUGAGAACCGGAGUUCCAAGGGCUCAAGGAGGAAGAAAAAAUCAUGCUAUGAUUAAAGUGCCAUUCAUUUUCCUUAUUCUCGGAACAGUCACGCUUGGAGGGUUUAAUGCUUCAAGGUGUUUAACGACCGGUCUUGUGGCUGAUUCUUAUAAACUUGUGGUUUUCAUUUCACGGUGACAAUAACACCCUUUCUUCCACUGUCCCGCAGGGCUUACAGAAGGCAAAAGGAGGCAUACCCUUCACACAAUCCAUUUCUUCCUUGAUGACCUUACAAGUUGGAAUGAAGCUCGUAACUUCAUAUUGUGCCUAAUUGCCAAUUGGUGAAUACUAUGUUGUAUAUUUUUUGUAUUUUUCAAAAGUCGAAAGAUCAAAUUUCACAUUUAAAAGUUAGAAGUAAUAAAAAACGAUUUUAUGUUAAAUCAGAAAACUUACUUUGUGAAGUUUUCAUAUGUACUGUGGGGUUAACGUUUGAUUUUAACUUUAUCCACAGUGAUUUGAUGUAUAAUAUAAUAUUGACACUAAUUAACAUUAUUUCUUGACCUCAUUUUGAGCACGUUUCUGCUUUGGGCUUUUUCCCUUGUUCUUCAUUUUCUUUUCUUUUUUCUUUGGUGAGUUGGCUUAACGAUUAAUAUUGUUGCAGUUCUGUGUACUUAAAAUCAUUUUUGGAUGAGUCUAUAUCUUGAAGGCCAGUUUUCACGGAUUUCAAGAUUCUUUUGAGAGAACUAUCUCGAUACAAAUUCAACAGGUUGUAACUUGUAAUGAAGGAGUUAGAUUUUAGUAGUCUAUAUUGGAGAAGUGGGAGGUGUAUUGAAGGCCAAAAGUUUGGCUAAGUUUGCUUAAAUGAGCCAAUAUGAAUGCUUUAUUUGAGGUUGAAAUAGGACUUAUGGCUUCAGGGUUAGAUUGUUCAGGUGGAAUUUCAAUCCAAAACUUGGAAGGUUAAGGGGCUCAUACAAGCCUUGAUUUAAGAUUGUAAGGUUGGUACUUUCAAGAUAGACGAGAAAGUACGAGUCCUGACUUGCGACCAGCAAACACAAAAUCGCCAAGUAACAAGACUCUUAUGAGGAUUUGCAUUGAAUUUUCGAUCUAAGUUAUCAAGCAACAAGACAGUAAGGAGGGUCUGUGUUGGAUCCUGAAUCUAAGCUGUCAAGCAACAAGACUUUUAGGAGGAUUCGUGUUGGAUCCUUAAGUAAGCUAUCAAGCAACAAGAUGGUCAAGAGGAUUGUGUUGGAUCUUGAACUUAUCAAGCAACAAAACAACUAAGAGGAUUUGUGUUAGACUCUUCAAAAGGUCUGAUUCUGGUUGAAGACCUGAUAUUUUGAGCAUGGAGAAUGCCUAAGUUAUAAACACAAUUUGUGAGAACUCUGAUAGAGGAGUUUUAGUUGAUUUAAAAAAAUAUUUGAUGGAAUAACUUGAUUUUGCUCAAAUUUAGAGAAAUGGAAGACCGAAUCAAUUGAUUAAAGAUUAUUUUUAAUCGAUUAAAAGGAAUCAGAAAAGCACCAAACUUAUAACUCAUCAAGAACAAACAUAAGUAAUUCAACAAAACAUGCCUUUUAUCAUAAUCACAUACUAUAGAAUCUAGAUAGUAGAUUGUAGAGAAAUAAGGCAGCAUUAACUUAAUAAUCAAUCUUAGAAUAGAUUUGUAUUUGAUUGGAAUAUGCACUUAUUAUAAGAUUGAAGACACUAGAACAUGAAUGUUAGUAGAAAGUUUCAAUUACUCUGUCAGUUUUAAUUAACUUCUAUCAAUCUAGUUUCAGCCUGGCAUCAGCUGAGAAAAUAGCUAAAAGGGAAUAAUGACUACAAUUGUAACUCAAGAAUCAUCAGUCAAAGUUAUAAGAGGUCAAUUUGGAAAAAGACAGAACCUUCACUGCAUGGUUAAGCACCCCCUCUAUACAAGAAUGAUUCGAUUUACUAAUGAAUAAUUUUAACAUGAAGGAAACCAACUCUGCAAAAAGAAUUUGUAUGUUUCCUCCACUCUGCUUCUUUCUCCUUUGCUGUUUCCUCCUUGUUAAGAUCUUUCUCUGUUCUUUUUGGGCAGAAACAUUCAGACAAAAACUUUGAUUUGGUUCCUUUAAGCUCUUUGCCUCUAAAAGCUAGAUUGUUAAUAAGCUGGCUUUCUUCCAACAUCAGAUGUUAUAUGGCUUCUAAGCUAGAUUGCAGCUAAGCUGGUUUUCUUCCCAGAUGUGAUAUCCGCGAAGAGAUUAAAGGCGCUUCUUCAUCAAAAUGAGUAUCGGAAACUAAAUCAUUUUGUAAUGUCUCCUCAUUGCUGAUCACAUCAUCCUCUGCCUUUUUCUCCAUCUGUAACUCCUAUAUUUAUUCAAAAAGCAAAGCGCAAAAGUCAAACCAAUAAAUAUGCUUCCUUAAAAAAAAUGAAGGUUCACUAGCACCAACUGCAAUCAGACUUGAAUGAGUUGAAUCAAUCAUCAAUCACUAUGUCAGUAAGCAAAACUUAAUUACGCCCGCAGAAAGGAGAGGAGAAAGGUCAGAUUAGAUAAACAAUUAAUUAGUCUGCUAUAUCUGUAAGAAAUUAUCAAGCCAAAAAGAACCAUAUGAUUAGAGUUUGAAAUUUGGACAUGUCUUUUCACUCCCAAAAACAAAGGAUGUGUGAAGGCAUGAUGAAGUAGAACUUUACUCAAUUUCUUUAUUCAUAUGGUGGCUAGGUUAUAAAAUAAAACAGUACUCACAGUUACUGCAAUGAAUGUUUGGAUCAUUUGAUUAAAAUUCAUGGAAGAAAAGAUGGCUAAAGACCUAAAGUUAAGUAGUAAGUAACUAAUGUCAAAUUCACACAGAAUGGUGAUAAAUAGUACUAAAUUGUAAUGUAAUCCAAAUGGAAUGAAAUCGAAUGGCCAUUCUCAAUUCACAGUUUGGUAGCUUGUUGAAUGGAAAUGACUUUCCAAACCAUUCAAUUGUUUGAUACCUAGAAUUACAUGAGUAUUUAAAAGGAAUUACAGGAUCAGGUUGAAAAUAGAAUUGAAAUUUAGAAAUCAUAAAUUCAAUAAAAAAAUGGAUGAUAAUUAUCAUUGUAUGAAAUAAAUGAGGCUGUGUUAGAAAACAUUCCAUUCUUUUUUCUACAAACAUGGGAAUGUUUAUGGAAUAAAUCACAAAAUGGCAUCGCCUUUCUAGUAUAAAACACCACAUAAGAGAAUAGAGCCAAAGACACUUAAAUCAUGCAUGAAUGCUGAUCAAACUACAAAACAAAAACAAAAAAAAUUACUGAAAAGGCUGACCUUUGUUGAUUCAUCUUGGGUACUUUGAAGUUGAGAUGUGCGAGCAUCUUUGACCUUCAGGUAGUUGUAUAAAACAACGCCACUUAAAGCUGCUCAUUCAAAAAUAAUUUAUAUAAAGAGACACAUAAAGGAAAUCCAUGCAAUACAACAAAUUUAAACUACUAUAAUAGUAUAAUGUCUUUUCAUUAAAGAAGCAUAUACCAAUAGCAUAGCCAGUAAUAUUAAGCCCUGUAAUCUUUGACUCAGGAAAUAAGACAGUAGAAAGAGUGAUAAGUAACCAGUCUUUCAAAACUCCAGCCACUCGAAUAGUUACUGCCCCAGUUCUACCAAUCACUAAGAAAGUUGAAAGAUUCAACGCCAAAGCACAAAGCGCAUUUGAGAAAAAUAUCCAGAAGUUAAAUUGCAUAUGCGGAUCUUCCAUCUCAGGCUUCUCAAGGAUAUACCAUGGGAUAAAAAGAAAUACAAAGCUGCAUACAAUAAUGAGCGAAUGAUCAUUAUUCUUCCAGAUAAAUAAAGAUAUAAAUAAUAAAUUUGAAUUUCAUUGUACCCAUUGACAUUUUCAAUACACAGAUAUUUCAAUAUUUGUGCCUCUCCCUGCCCCAUUCCCUUUCUUGAGUCAAAAUAAGUGCAUUAUAAGCAUAUAAAAGGCUACCAAUGGUAUAUGCAGAACUAUAAAAGGGCUUUGAAAUGCAUAAGAAUAGAACUACCUGCAAGGUGCUAUGUAAUACAAGCUGGUAAUAGGAUUUAGUGUCAAGCCCUUCUUUUGAAGAAGAACUUGAGUUAAGACCAGCCUCAACGCUUCAGCAAUUAUUCCUGUGACCUGAUAAACUGUACCGAUUACAUUAAAAUGAAUUUCCCCGUAGGAGGAAAUUACAACUCCAACACUGACCAGCACCAUGUUCCAGAACACGUCACACCUUAAUUUCUCAGUUCCAAGAGUCACAGCCACCAGAAAUGUUGCCACAGGCACUGCAAAUAAAAAAUAAAUAACAAAAGGGAUGAUUUCUAUUAGGGAUUGUUAUUUUCCAAAAAUAUGGCAGCUGGAAGGAUGAUAAGCGAAAAUUAACUCACUCAGGGCUUUAAGCAUCUGGAUGAAGGCGACAGAAAUGAAUAAAUAGGCAGUGUUCCCAAACCUAAAAGGACAACAAAGUAAUUAAAUCAACAUUUUCAAUGCAACUAUGAAUUUGGGAAGGUAGUUUUAAAGUAAUUAAUAAAACUUCAAAGGCUAUGUGAUGUAAUACAGUAAUUAUUACUAAUACAACUUUAGCUCAAUUUUCUUUUUUUAUGAUAUUCUAUGGUGCAAUAUAAAAGUAUUCCAAUCCUUUCAAAUCCCGAUUCUUUCAAACAUAAUUUGUUGAUUUCAGGAUAACUAUUAUGAAAUCACGAGUUGUAUCAGCUAAUUUCCAACAAAAUGCAUAGGCAAUCAAGAAGAUGAAUAACAAAUAUACUGUAGCAUACACGUCUCAGGGUAUGUUAUCUAAAUCUUCUUAUUUCUUAUAUCUGCAAACAGAAAUUGAUGAACAUAUUUGUGCCAGAUGAUGUUUGUUUGAUCCAAGAAGUUUGUAAUGAAACCAUUUGUUUUAUCAGCAAACUUCCAACUAAACAGAGAAGGUAAUAGACAGAAUGAAUAGCAAAUACAAUAUAAAAUUCCAAUACAAUGUUAUUUGAAGUCUAGCAUAUCUACAAAUAAAAUUUACAUUCAUGAAUCUUGUGCUGCAACGUUUUUUUGCUUGGCACCACAAACCCGAGUAUGCACACACACACAAUGAAACAAAAUGCUCAAAACAUGAUUUGAUUAAGGAAGCAUAAACUUGAUGAUCAUAACUCGCUCAGACACUGUUUUAUUUUGUUUACAAAAGGGAACAGAAACAGUAGAGUAUCAACUUCACUAAGAUGCCAGGGAACUUUAGCACUGACUUUACAAACAUAUAAAUGAAUAUGGGGGGCUGUUUAAGGAACACAUAUUAGAAUUUAGAAAUGGGUUUGCUCAAAUUACAACUUUGGAUCAAUAAUGUCAAUUGCUUACCACAGACUUGCGGCAAAGAAGGCGCUUAUAGGGACCACACAAGUUGCAUAUCUGCAAAUCAUACUUUUUGUGAGAAGCGAGAUAUAAUAAGCGAAAUGUGAAACAGGAUAUCCAUGUAGAAUUCUUACAUAUGUAAUGUCAUCUUAAUAGGUGAUACAACCUGCAUCAAUUGAAAGAAGAUGAAAAAGAAAUAUCAUCCAGUUGAUUCAGCAAUACUUUUCAAGAAAAAGCUAAUGAAUAAUAAGGGAAUAGCAUUAAGGAGUCAACAACAUAAAGUCUAAAACUGGUGACAUUACAAACUCCAACAGUCUCAUACGGUCAUACCUUGAGAACCCGGAUAAGCACAAAGGCCACAGCGCCAGAAAAAGCCAUAUGGAUCAUAGUGAGUGUUAUUGGAAAUGGAAAGUUGAAAUACAAUGUGGAGAGGACCCACUGCAAUGCCCAUAUAAGGAAAGAGGGUGAGCAAAAUAUAAUUACAAGAUAAAUCACAAACGUAAACGAAAGAAUUAGUUGGUAUAUCUGUGAUCCCUUGCCUUGUUAUAGAGAAUAACCCCUGAUGAAAGUGAAAUGUAAACUAGAAGGUACAUGUAGGUGAGCAGAUGCUGCUUACUCAUUAUUAUGGCACCAAGUGCCAUAUCUACCCUGCAAAACACAAUGCAUGUGAAAGAUAUCUUAACAACCUAAGUUCAUUAAAACAGUCAUUGUUCAUCAAAUACCCACCCAGGUUUUGUUUCUUUGAUUGUCAUGUAUACUUGGAUCAAUUACUAACAUUUAACAAGUAUUCCCAAAAAUAAUCAAAGAAGGGAGUGAGUGAGUAUUACUUACAGGAAGCUCAAUACCAAUAAGCACAAUAAUUUAGUUAAAAAAAGUGUAAAGCAAGAAGUGAAGUGGUUUACUGAAAUUAGGAAAAGCACAGUCCACAAUAGAUUGAUAAAUUUGGAAGUAAUGUUACUGUUUGAUUCGUUGUUAAGACACAGUUUUGAUUCAAUAGUACUACAAUACAAUGUUGAAUGCACAUUAGAGAAAUAAAAUCGUUAUUAUUUUUUCCUAAAAAAUUGAAAUUACUGUGAGAAUGCUAGAUUCAGAGUGGGGAUUGAUGAGAAGAAAAGGAACGAAAAUGAUAUGAUAACAGAGACAGAAAGAAGAAGAAGAAGAAGGAGAUGUUACCGGAUACAGUAGUGAUCUGAAAAAGGGUUGGAAUGGCGAAUGCGAAUACGGAGGAGAUUGAUUAAUUGUAAGACCGGAACGCGGAAACAAACGAGAAAUCCGAGAUUUUGUCUUAGCCUUCGAAGGGAAAUAUUUUAUUUUAUUUAUCGGGGGAUGUCAUUAUGUUGGACUUGGACCGGUUUAAGAAUAAAGAAACACAAAUAUAUCAUAUGAUAUACUACAAGUGUAAGGUUUUUUUUUUUUUUUUGAAACUGGACAAGUGUUUAAGGUUAAUCUUCCCAUUUUUUCAUUUUACAUAUUUUAAGCAACUUAUUUUUUAUUUAAGGACAAGGGCAUUGCAAUGCUUGCAUGACCAGAUUUUUACCCAAAGCUUAAUCAGCUCGGCGGAGUAUACGUGACCUUUUAACAUCACUUUUGAAUUUUGAUCAUUCUAAAAUAUCUUCAAUCACUUUUGGUCAUUCUCCUUCUUCCUUUUCUCCUCCCACCCAACUUUCACACCUCCCGCCCAAUGACCACCCACCAUUCAGCCCCACCUGAGUCAACUCAAAAUGAGGGUGAUAUGGAGGUGGGGUGGGAGUGGGUAGUGGAUUGGGUUGGAGUUGAGAGACAAUUGUGGAGGUUUUGUUGUGGUUGUGGAGGUCGGGUGAGAGGAGGAGGAUGAAGAAGAGGAAAGAAAAGGAAAAAGACCAAAAGUGAUUGAAAAGGUUUUAGAAGGCUCAAAAGUGAUGUGAAAAGUACACGUGGACUCCCUUAAGCUGAGCCUACCACGUGGACUGAUAACCUGGUAAAAAUCUGACAUGUAAGUAUUGUAAAUCACUUGUCCUUAAUUAAAAUAAAAAAAGUUAUGGACUGAAAACUAUAAACUUUUUUCGAAGAGACCAAUUUAGAUGCGACCCUAUAUGUCAAAGACCUAAUACAUAUUUAACCAAGCUUAAUAUACUUGUAUCAAUAGUGCAAAUUGAGUAUUACAAAUUUAUUAAUUUAAAAAGGUAAAUUUAUUAAUUCAAAAAAAAGGUAAAUUCAUAAAUAUAUUUAAAUUAAAAACAACCCUUAAAAGUCAAAAAAAAUAUUAACCGCAUAGUUCAAAUUUGAUUGCCAUAAAUUUUUUAAUUAGAGUUGAAACCAUGUACUUAAAAAAAAAGACUUAAAUUAGUUUUUUGUCACUCAUUUUACUUUUGCAUUUGAUUUUAAUCUCUACCAUAUAUAUUUUUAUAGUUCAAGUCCCAUGUUUUGGUUUCAGUCCAUACUGUUAGUAUCCCACUGUGAAGUAGCUAACAAAAGGUCUUGUCACUAUUGUCACGUAUACAUAGUAACUAUAUAUGACCUACUUUUGCUGAUAUGUAUUAUGGAGGAAUUUACAGUACACAUAUAAAUGCUUGUGUAAGGUUACACAAGCUACUUUUGACAUGCAAUAGCAGGUUUAGCAGGUUUUAAAAAAAAAUCAAAAAACAUAUAUAUUAGUAAAUUAGUUAAUGAAGGAUUAGGUUAAAACAAUAAUUAUAAUAACAUUUAGGUUUAAUCCUUUCCAUCUUCCUCCCCUCCUCCACUGGCAGCAACCUCCUUCAUCUCUCCUCUAGUACUAGUACUGUGCUUGCACAUCUGAGCAGAUCUAGGGUUUUCUUCACCCACACAGCUCCAACAAACUCAACAAAUUUCACUACCGUCUUCUCCUUCACUCACACAGCUCAUUCAAAAUUGAGAAAUUUUUCCACAAAAUAAGAACGAUAGUGAUGCGAAGGUGCAGAAGAGAACCAGUGUUAUAAACUUCACCCCCAACCAGUGUUGGGGGUGGUGGUGGUGGUGGUGGUGUUGGGUGAGAGACAUGCAACCUCAGCCUCACCAAACCCAGAUUUAAAGCGCGCAUGUUAGUGGGUCGGUGGAAAAUCAGAUCUAAAGGGAGGUUUGGUUCGUGGGUCUGAAAAAUCAGAUCUGGAAGGUUGAACGGAGGGAGCGGUGGUGAGGGAGGAUGGUGCGGUGGGGAGAGAUCAGGAGAAGGAAGACAAUGGGUUGAACAAAGGUAGCAGUGGGGAGGGUGGAAAUCUGGAUCUUUGCCGCCGGCGGUGGUGGUGGUGGUGGUGGUGGUGUCUGGAGAAUGAAGAAGAUGGAUGAUGAAGAUGGGCUUGUAAUGGGUUCAAACUCAACCCAGAUCUAAAGUUGAAUUGAACUUGUGGAUUAAUUAAGAAUAAUUUUUUUUUAAAUUAAUUAAAGAUAAAUGUUUAAUUAAGAAAAUAUGGUUUUUGAUUUUUUUUUUUAAAAACCUACUAUAGUGGGUCAAAAGGCCAAUGUGCAACCAUACACAAGUUUUUACUUGUGCAUGUUAAAUUUUUCCAUGUAUUAUGUAGAUAUGUUAGCUAAACUGUUUUGAAAAAAGAAAAAAUCUCACUGGAAAAAAUCUCACUGCCAUCCAUGUGAAGCUUCUGAAGUUGAAUCGUGUGGAAGUGAGAGUUUUCUCGUGAAAAGAGCUAGUCCUCCAACUUGGCAUGUGGCAAUGGACAUGUGGCAAUGGUUACAUAAUUUUUUGUUAGCCACAUCAUCAGUUAACAAUAAGAUACUGGUGUGAACCUAAACCAAGUUUAUUUAUUUAUAAAUAUUAAAUAUAUAGAUUAAACUAAAAACUUAGACAGUCUGGACUAAAACCAAAUCUGACCGCAAAAUGGGUGAUUAUUUAAACCUUUAUCAUUUCAAUCAUUUGCUUUCAUUGAUUUGUUUAUUUUCAUAUUUAAAAAUCAUUAGAUUACAUUAAAAAGAUAAAUAAUGAUAACGCUAACUAAACAACAUUUUUAAUACAGAUAGAUAUAUUGAUAAUAUUAUUUCAUCGUUCACCAAAAAGUAGUAUUGUUUAAUAUGACAUUUCAAAAACAAAAUAUUGUUUAAUACUAUGUCUUUGGUAGCUUAAAGGACAAUUGAGAAGGAACAAGAGAGUAGGAUAUACAAUAAUAACAAACUUGGUUUGAGUAUGAGAUACCGCUAACUGAUGAGAAAUAUAUUUAAAGCUUUCCAGAGGAGCUUACCAAACAAGCAAUGAAUAUAGGUUCAAACAUGGAUUAGAGACAAAUUCUCCGUAAAUUCUCAUAUUUCUUCCAAGCCCACCUCAACCCUUUUAUAAUUGAAUUCUCACAUUUUAUUUGUUCUGAUUUCUUUUUUACAAGUUCAUAAGUCUGGAUUUUCAUAAUUUUCAUUUGGCAGGGGGCCCACCCAUGCAAGAACACCAAUACUUAUGGAGGUGAAAUUGAUGCAAAAAAGUCUUCAAUUUUUUGUGCAUUGCUGGUCUCAGACAUAUCAUCCAUGGAUCAAGGUUUGGCUUAAGCAAGGAAGUCGCUAUAUCAUUCAAGCAUAAACUGUAGUCCAGAACCCUCCUAACUCUCCCCUAACUUACAUGGACAGAAAACAAAAUCGCAGUGGGAACAACAGCUUCAACAUUGAAUGUGGCAACAAUAAUUUUUGUUUCAUUUUCAAAACAUUGGAACUGACGAAAAAUGAGAGACUCAUCUUAGUAAAGAAAAAAAUCACAUCAAAAUGUUUUCAUAAACAAAUUACAGAAUUAGGAGCCAUCAAGAACAGGCCUUUGGUCAUUCUAACUUAGCUUCCAGUGAAGAAAUAACCUGAUGACGUGCUAUUUGCUGUGAGUAUUCUCUUUUCUGUUUGUUGCAGUUUCUCCCAGAAGUUUCAAUUAAGAUGGCAAUAAUCCCAAUCCCACAUUGGGAAAAGGAAAAUAGAGCAAAGAACUAAUAAUAAAAAAAUAAGCAAGUAAAUCUCAAAGAACCUCAUGGAUUAUGAACAGAAUGAAUGCAGUGUAAACAAUGAGAUAUAUAACCAUGUCCGAGCAAUUUACCAUCAGCAUCUGAAGCAGUCACUUAUAUUUUGCUUGCAGACUUAUGCACAUCCUCACGACCUCACAGAUACAGAUAGAAAGAAACAUAGGUAGGGAUUAGUUUGGUGCGUCACCAGCAGGUCCAUGCCUUGCAUUCAACAAAGGCUGAAGAGCCUUGACUACAAUGCUCAUGUUUGGUCUGAAAUCAGCUUCAUAUUGCACGCACAGUGCAGCAACGGCAGCCAACUGUAAUUAAUCAAGUAUCAUGCUGUUAUAAAUUAAAAUUGGUCUCAAUUAUGUAAAUAGUCUAUCUCUAGGUCCUGGUUGCCGGUAACCCACAUAAAAGUGUUUCUACAUUUUAAGUAUUUUCUGACUCUUAUGAUACCUGCUGGCUUGAUCAUAAUUUCUGAAACUAAGACGAAACUAUAGAGACAGCCCUUCCAUUCCUAUUGUUAAACUAAUUAAAAAUUAUUCACUGAAUUUUCUCCAUAAAGGAAAUGAUUCAACAAAGUGUUAGGUUCAACUUUUAGUCUCAAGCAUAGCAUUACUAAUACACAAGAUAUAAGAAUUCUGCAAGUAUCUCUUGUAAGCUAUGUUAGAUUAGUUUGCUAAUCCAUAGCAAACAGUCUACAACACCUCGGCAAAGAAAAUGGCAUAAUAACCACAUAAAGGAAGAAAAAUAUACUAAGAAACAGUGAGCACCUUUGCAACAGCUUUGGGUGGGUAUUCUCCUCCUAGUCUUGCAUCUACACACUGUCUGACUUUAUCCUCACUUAGUUUUGGUGUAGCCUGAAACACAUCAAUUACUGUCAUCAGCUCGCUGGCCUGCAUUUUACAUUUCCUGACAACAUGAAAUUAGAUCACAAUAAUGAGGUUUGCAUUUACCCAAGUAACCAGGCUCUGCUGCCCACGUGGUAGUGUAUGAUCAACAGGCUUCCUUCCAGUCAAAAGUUCCAGAAGGACAACACCAAAGCUGUAUACGUCACUCUUAGCAUUCAAUUGCCCAGUCAUUGCAUAUCUGCAUUCAUAAUAUUAGACAGAUCAUUGGAUUGCAACAAAGAUAUAAACCAAAAAAGCUAUUCAAAUUGGCAAGUUGGUAACACCUUUGAAGUGAAUUUUGGAAGAAGUAAAAUUUUGUAUUACUGCUCCAAUAAUUCUUCGGCAAUUGUGCUGAAAGUUUAGUAGUAAUAUGCUAUAAGCCUAUAACUAAUAGGGCUACAAUAAAGCAUGUUAUACAAUAUGCAUCUUGAAAAUUUGAUAUAAUAUCUUACUCAGGUGCAUGAUAACCGAAGGUUCCAAGGACACGGGUGGAAUGAAGACGUGCUGCCAUGUCAGGAGCCUGAUUUGACAAAUCAAAAUCUGCAAUUUUAGCAACAUCAUCAUCAAAGAUUAGCACGUUGCUUGACUUGAUGUCCCGGUGGAUAAUGUGGGGAUCAGCCUUCUCGUGCAAGUACUCAAGCCCUUUUGCAGCCCCUACAGCAAUUUUAACUCGCUGUGCCCAUGUCAGAACAGGACCAGGCUGUGCUCCUUUAACACCUUUUCUGCCUGUAUGUAAAGGACACUAAUAAGAAACACAACAAUGUAUGCUAAAAACAGGAACAUAAUAAUAUAUCUUUCAAGUAGUACCAUUGCUUCUCAUGGAACUAAAAACAAUACUGAUGUCGAAAUCCAAAUUUUUCUCAAUUCCUUUAAUAUUGAAAAAGAACUUGACAAAUGUCCAUAGAUGCCAACAAUUUUCCAAAGCAAAACCACAUACCAUGUAAAAUAUCAUGAAGAGACCCAUUAGAUGCAAACUCAUAAACAAGAAUUCGAGAGUUUCCGUCAACACAAUAACCAAGCAAUUGGACAAAAUUGUCAUGCUUCAGUCGUGAAACCAUUGAAACCUGAAAGUUCAAAAAUCAAGUGGUUCAUGGGAUUUGAAGAACCAAAAACCUCAAUGACUAUACAGUAAGCCUAGGUCAACACAUACCUGGGCUAAAAAUUCAUUAUCAGGCUGUUUACUGGCAUCUAAUUUCUUGAUUGCUGCAGCCUGCUCACUCUUAAGAACGCCAUAAUAUACUCUUCCAUAGGAUCCCUCUCCAAUCAGAGAACUCUCUCCAAAGGUAUCUGUAAUUUCUUUGAGUUCAUCCACUGGUAUUUCAGGAACUUCAAUGGGCUGAAUUUUAACAGUUUGAGCACCCUGCUUUGCGGUUUCAGAAGCAUGGUGAUUUCCAUCAUUUCCUGCACAAUACAAUUUAUAACAUUAACUGCAUCAAAUUCAAUUUCAGGUAAUACUAAACAAUAUCAAAUAAAUCAACACAAUGAAGUGCCAUACUACAUCAUCUAAAUGCAUAAAUCUUAUACUACUUAUCCAACCCAAUUGAGAUAAAACUUUCGCUUAAAGAUGCAUGAUUGUUUUAGAAUUGUGUUGCAAGUAGUCACUACUGUUAGAAUAUAAUAGAAAACCAUUCAUUUGGCCAAUUCUUCUAAUAAAAAGUUGAAUUUAUUGCAUUGUCCACGCUUCAAGCCCAAAGGGCUCUUGCGUCAGGGGGCGUGUUAGAAUAUAAUAUAAAACCAUUCAUUUGGCGCUUAACCAAUAGCUUAAGCUUAAGCUUUUUGGAUAAUCAGUUGCUUGACUGCUACUACAUGAUAUAUGUUUUCCCGGAUGCACUCUUCUAGCUAACAUGAACCAAAUUACCUGAGUUUUUCACCAUAUAUGGUCCCCCAGUUUCAGCAGUCCUGUGGAAGUCAUCUUCUUCACAACAGCUGAAACAACCCAUGAUUCUUCCAGCUGAUAACAAUUCAUAAAUCCAUCAGUUCACACCAGUAAAUAAUUCAAUCUUUAAGCAUAAAUAUAAAGUCAAAAGUUAAAUAAAAAUGGGAAAUAAAAUGACUGCUUCCAUGUAGCUUUUCAUUGCUAAAAGGAAGAUUGAUCAUGGCAACAGUAAAAAUUCAACAUUGUUUAGCAAUACAACCUUGUGAAUUAUAAAUCUAAAGGCAAUAAUAAAAAGUAAAUGAAAUAGUACAUCAAAAUCAAUAAAUUAGAGAAACAGUGUGCAAUUGAAAAGGGAAAGUGCACAUAGAUACAAUUGAUCGGAGAGUACCUGAAAUCGAAUUGGAUUAUGAUGCAGUUGAGGAGGUGGUUGAAUAUCUUGGCUUCGAAACCGGCGAAAUGGGCGCAGGAUAAGCAGAGAGGAGUGCGUUGGAUAAAGCUGUCGAGGUUCUUGACUAGCUUGGAAAGAUUGAUGAUGAUUUGGUAAUGGUAAUGGUAAUGCUAUUAUUACAGACAGGAACCUUUUUUCUUUCUUUUGACCAUUACAUACACGAAUUUUGGUACAACUAACUAAUAUGUUUUUUUAAGUUAAUUUGAAAAAACUCAUUAAAUUUAUUAUGUAAGUAUGAACUUUUAUUUAUUAGUUAAUUUAAACGGAUUUUAAAAAUAAAUUAAAAACAGUUUCUAGAUAAGUCAAAAAUUAUUUAUAAAAGCUCUUAUAAACAAUUGAAUAAGGGGUUAUGUUAUAAGAUUAGGUCAAAUAAAUUAUUCAAAUUGAUAAGGGCAGAUUGGUGCACAAAGCGCCGGAAUAUGCAAGAUUCGUGAAGGGAUCCUACUAGAUCAUAAAAGAAAUUAUAGUGUAAAGUUUUUUUUUUUUAUUCAUCGGAAAACUAUAGUGUAAAGUUAAUGAGCCUUACAUGCAGGUCUUAUUAAUUUUUAUGAGAAUUAACGCAUUUAAUUUAUGACUUAAUAUUUAUAAUUUUUAUAAUUAAGGUGAAGAUACUAACAAAGUUGGUAGAUACUAUUUCAAUCCUUGAACAAAGUGUAUAAAGAAGUGUUAGAAGAUAAUUAUUCAUUUAAUAAUGGGUUGUCUCAUAAUUGUCGAUUGUGAUGAUAAUUUGAAAAACCAAUAAAAAUAUUAAGGUUAAGAUUUUAAAAAUUAACGUGCCAACUAUCAACAUUGCCAUAAAUAAAUUUAGAGAUUUUAAUAAUGUAACAUUAUCCAUGCAUUACCUACCUAGUAUGCGUUUAGAUACAAAUUUAUUGGAAUUUAUCUACUCACUAUGUUUCUUAUUAACUAUCCCUUUAGAGAAAAAAUCAUUCAUAUUUACCUCUGCGCUUAUAAUUUCAAGAAAGCACUGAAUGAUAUUUUUCAAAUAAUGCUCUUGUGAGAAGAAAAUACGAGAUAAAAUACAAUUUAAAAAGUAAAAUAGAAAAAUAAAUAAUAUUUUUAUGAAAGUUAAUAAAAUCAAUUACAUUGUUUAAUAUGCGUUUUUUUCCCUCUUCAUAGAAAGUUAUAAGAAUCACCGCCACAUAUAUGCUUAUCUGAUUUGAGAUGUUAGAGAUCUUUUGGACCACUCUUGGGUGGUGAGGCUCUCUCACACCUUGAGGGAGGGCAACGCGUGUGCGGACUUCCUUGCGAAGCAUGAAGCUGAUCAGAGUGAAUCCUUGGUGAUGAGUUCGCUUCUCAUAUGGGUUAGGUGUAGCGCAUGUUCAGCCUUAGUUGGUCGUGUGUCCUUUUUUUCUUUUGCUUGCUUUUUUCUUCUUCUUUUUGCCUUGUACCAAAAAAAAGUACUAAAUAAUAAACUAUAAUAAGUGUUAUUUGGUUUACAUCCGAACUACCUCAACAUUCUAGGACAAACUAUGAUUUAUCCACACCUGACUAUCUCUUCCAUCUCAUUUCUACUUCAUUUAUCUUCCUAUUUUUCUCAUCUUAUUUCCAUCACAUCAUCUAUCUUAUUUUUUACUUCUCUCUUUUUUUCUUCAUAUUUUAUCACGGUAGAUGUGUUUCAAAGUUGUGAAUUAAACUAUAUUCAAUAUAUUUGCAUACAUAAUCAGCGGAGGAAAGCUCACAGUCACGGAGAACAAAACCGGCCUAAAAUAUAUUUUUAGGGCCACCCUAACAGAGAAUAUAGACAUACUCAAUCCACCAAAUUAAUUCAAUUCCCAUUUACAAUUUGUCACAAUUAUUGGGCAAUCAUUAUUUAGUCGACAAGUAUUUUUUUUUUAAACCGCAUAUAGUUUUUUUUUGUUGUAAGCUAAGAUGACAAUAGAUGUCAUGACAUUAAUUCAAGUAGUGUAUUAUGGGUUGAGUAUCCCUUGUACUCCCAUUAAUGCAUUUCUUUGCUUAUCAAAAAAAAAGUAGUUGUUAGUUGACCAAACCAAUUAAACGGUUAUGCUAACAACGUGACAAAAUUGGGAAUAAAUUUAUAAAUGGCCUAAGAUUUUCAUAUCAUAGAUAUUGUCUAUUUGUCCAUUAAUCAUGCUCCUGCAAGUGCAAGUGCUCACACUUUUAGGUGAGCAAUUAUUGGCUUAACAUUCUAUGCAUUAAGUUUGAAAUUUAUCAAUAAAACAUUAAAGGCUUAAAUAAGUUUUUGGUCCCUAACCUUUAUCAAAUGCUUGGUUUUCGUCCCUCGCCGGAGUAAAUGUGGGUUUUGGUCCCUCCGGAGCUAUGGGUCAACGCCGGAGCUCUGGUGGCCCAUGCUGCAUGGCCACGUGGGAUUAAUGAGCUGACGUGAAUUUUUUUUCUUUAAAAUUAAAAAAACCAAAUUAAUUUUUAAAAAAGAAAUUGUAAUCCUAAUUUAAAAUUCUUAAAAAAAACCUAAUUUAUUUAACUUUAAUCCCUAAUCAAAUCUUUAAUUUUAAUCCUAAAUUUUUCAACUCAAAUCUGCUCUAUGCCAUGCAAUCCAUAACCGUUCCUAUUUUUCUUCCUAUCCAUCAUCAAUAUCUCCUUCUCCAUUAUCAAUUUGGUUUUUUAGCACCUAAAAUUUGAAAUUCCGGUAAUUCCUUAGAACACAUAACUUCAGGUAAAUAAAAAGAAAAUAUUAAUAAAACAGAAAAUGAAUUGGUUAUGAACUGGGUAGCAACUUUGCUGCAAGGAAAAAAAAAGUUGCGAAAUUAAUUGUUGGAUUGGAGAUAUGAUCAUCUCAACAAAGGAAUUUUACUACUACAAGCCACAAUUUCAGCACCAUCUUCAACCCUUCUGGACUGUGUUUUUGAUAUUGGUUGAAAUUAGGGUUCCCUAGUGGUGUGGGUACUCCAUCUACCCAGUUAGAUCCGCCGUCCUCUUUUUUUGCCGUCGUUCGACCGCCGUGGCGUGAUGGAAGAAUCAGAUCCGUCGUUCUCUCUCUCUCUCUACCAAUUUUGGGGCUUUAUUGGCGGUGGUGGGUGGGAUCUGCAUGGUCAGAGAGAAGAGGGGGUGGGUUGAAAUAGAGGCUUGGGAAGGUUGAGGGCUGCAAGAUCUGUCCACCAUCGGGUUUCUCUCACUAUUUUCUACCUUUUGCUAUGAACUUGUUCUUCUUCUACUGCAAUAGUUUGGAAAAUGAUUUUCUGAAUCCAGAGGGUAAUAGCCAUGGGAGAACAGGGUCUGGCGGUGGUUUUGUGGCCGUGACUGGGACCUUGUGGUGGUGGCUCUGUUUCGGUGAGAUGAGGAGGUGGUUGUUGGUGGCCGUCGGGGUUGAGUUCGUAGUCGCCGGGAGAGGAUGAUGAAUCGGAGAAGGGAGUUGGGUUUGGCACCCCACCUAUGGGGCUUGGCACCCCACUUUAUCAAAUACGGAAUUUAAAGUUCCGUAUUCUCCAUAUUGAAUACGGAACUUAAAAUUCCGUACUGUAUUUAAGCAUGCGUGUCACAUUUUCAACCACUCAUUAUAUACUAAAACAGCGGAAUUUUAUUUUCCGUAUUGAUACGGAAAUUUAAAUUCCGUAUCUAUUUUAGUGGGGUGCAAAGCCUAAGGGGUGGGGCUCCAAACCCAACUCCCAUCGGAGAAAAGCUGAGGCUUUGGGGGUUAGAUCCAUUGGAUUGGAGGUUGCAUGCCCUGCUGGAGAAUGCUGAGAUGAAGAAAAUUCAAGAUUGUCUUCAAUUUCCAAUUUUUAAUGUUUUUAUUUAUAAUAUAUGCAAUUAAUUAGGGAGGUUAAUUAGGGACAAUAAAUAUUGAUGUUUAACUAUGUUUUUAAUAUUUUAAAUGAAAAAAAAAUCCACAUCAGCUCAUUAAUCCUACGUGGCCAUGUCACAUGGGCCACUGGAGCUCCGGCGUUGACCCAUAGCUCCGAAGGGACCAAAAGCGGACCAAAACCAAACCUUUUGACAAAGGUUAGGGACUAAAACCCACCUUUACUCCGGCGAGGGACGAAAACCAAGCAUUUGGUAAAGGUUAGGGACCAAAAACUUAUUUAAGCCAACAUUAAAACCAGACCCAAUUGUCAUAUAAUGGAGUCUCUUAUAACCAUGAUUAACUGAAGAGGGACAAAACAGUUUUGGUGGAUGGUUAUGAAGGAAACCAAUUUAACCGACAAUGAAUCUAUGUUAUUGUCAUGCAAUGUGAGUUUAUGCCAAUAAUCGCUAAUCACUAAUUAGAGAACAUGUUCAUAGCAAUAAUGCUGCUGCCCCAAGCAUUUUAAACUUGAUAUAAAACAAAGGGUGUCAGCUAGUAGGGGCACGAAGCAGAUUCAUGCAUGUUGUGAGAUUAUUCUCAUGAGUUAUGCCACUACAAGUCUACAACUACAUAAUUAUAUUGGCAUGUUAUUUCUAAUUAUAACUUAAAAAACCCAAAACAGAACAGAAAUUCGAUUGAAAUUCCAACAGUUUCCACGAGUCAUGUUGAUCUUGUACGUUUGCCAUUUAAACAGAUCUUUCUGUUUGGUUUUCUGCCAGCAGCUUCUCUGGUCUUGUGUUCGGUGCUCCACUUCUUGUGUGUGUGUGGUGCUUUGUUUGGUCACUCUCUCAUUGAGAACAUGGCUAAAAGGAACAGAGGAGAAUAUUUACUCGGCUUUAGGUGGAUUUGUGGGUUCUCACCAUGUGGGAGGAUAUAGUUGUAAUGGUCAUUCAAAUAAUGCAAAUGCAAAUGUGAACAAAAAUAAUACAAAAGUGAACAAGAUGAUACUAAUGCCCUAACAAAUUAAAUGGACAAUAUGCAUCGGAGUUGUGAAUGAUGCAAAGUUAACAUCGGCCAAAACCAACUCAAGCUAAUACGAAAUACCACAAAUGUCACACAGGGAUCAAACCUAAUUUUAGUCGGUUAAGCCAAUACUUAAUAAAUAAAGAUUGUCACAACUUAGUUGCGCUUCACUAAUGCUAACUUUUACAUCACUCGGAUAAAGCAAAAGUAUGACAUAUUUAGCAUAGUGACGCUAAAUGAGUCAAUAAUCUUUUCUUUACAUUAAAUUAUCAAGGUGAUGCUUAUCCAAAACAGAUUAUCUCUUCAAAUUUAUCACAAUAUAAUGGAGCUUAGAGUGACUGCAAUACUCAUUUUUAAAGAAAGUUUAAAAGUGACUAUAACCCGCUUCCUUAAUUUUAGAGGGCUCCACUAGAAUCAUGUCAUCCUACUAGAGCUGAUUAAGACCCUUUACGUGCCUUACCUGCAAACACGGUGGAAAAUCUUUGUAUUUACACCCACGUCCUUCAUUCACUUCAAUCUCACCUUCUACAACCAUGAGCUUUCCUCCUUUCUAUACUCAACACACAACUCUCCCAACAUCCAAACACUCCUUCCUUACUUAACCCACACUAUUCUUUUGUAUCACCUCUUUCAACUUCUCCUGCAAUAUGUAUUGUAGGAUAUGAUUAUAUUAUUCUAUCUUGUCUCAUUAUCCUGAUCACCAAACAUGUUUUAAUUAACAUAUUACAUGAUUUUCUUAAUGAUCGCAGUUGUCUUAUGAUGGUCUUAUAAUUAUGAACAGAUGAAGUAAAACUUUAUAUAAUAGACGAUCAACUAUAUAGGGUUCGGACCCAAUUUGGAUUGCAGACUUAUUGACUUGACGCUAUAUCGAUUUGUGCUUCUUGUGGUUAUUUUUAUGUCUUUGUAUGAAAGCAAGUCAAAAUUAAUAACUACAGUUCUGAUUGAGGAUCGUUUAAACUGACAUUAACAUUAAUAUAAAAUAAAAAUUAAAUUGUAACUCUUCUUAUAAAUUAAAAUGUAAGUUAGUUCACAUUACAUUACAUUUAAAUAGUAUUUUAAAAGAAAUUGGCGGUUAAUUGACCUCAACAAAAUUUCGUUCAAUACAUUUACGUGAAUGAUUGAUGCGUUGAUUUUCAACUCCCCGACUUUAGUUUUGGACCCUUUUAAUUAUUAGGCUCCAUAGUCAAAAUUACGUUCACCCCUAUGCCAGGGAAAUGUUGAGGACAGCUCUAUAUAUUGAUCAAAGAAAAGCAUAUUGAGAAUAUUUGUUAAUAAAAAUCCAAAAAAAAGGAAUCAGUAAUCGAUGAGCACCUUCAAGGAUUAAGAUAAUUAUAUAAUUAAACAACUAAGACCUCAUGUCAAAUUGUCAAUACCAUACAAUAUAAUAAGGCCAAUUUUCCUUUCACUUUGCACCUUUUUCAUAUUGCACCUGUUAUCUAGGAAUUUUACUAUGGAAAAAAACAAAUAUAUCUUAGAAAAAGACAAACAAAUAUUAAACAAUUAUCAAGAAAUGAAACCACUAUCGAAAGGUGAAUAAGAAGCCAUCUUCUUGUUCAGUUAUGUUUGCAAAGUGUUUUAGAGGAACCUAUCACAGUCACAGGAGAGGAGAGUAUGGUAAUGGUAACUGACUAACCUGUAAGUAACGUUUUGUUGGUAAAUAAAGUGAGUAAAAAUGCGUGCCGUGGUGCAGUGAGAGUUGCAUGUGUUUGGGUUGAGAUGGUGUGAAGAUUGUGACGUUUACUUAACGAAACGCGGGGAACACAUUAGAUGGAAGAAGAGUCCAAUCCAAUCCAAUCCAAUCCAGUGAAUGAAAUGAAUCAUCCACUCUAUAGCAGUAGGAAAACCUGGCACAGAAGAAAGAGGAAGAGCAAAUGCAUCUUUUUUUGUUUGUAACGUAGGAGAACGGAGGGACAGAAACUGACAGACAACUGGGGCCCACCACACUGCUUUGCGGGUGGAUCUACUGUUCCUACCACCACCACUUUCCUUCCUCACUUUUUUGAGUUUUUUCCAUCAUAUCAUGAAUAUAAAUUUUAGUAUGAACAUCCUGUAUCUUAUCACUCUUUCCAGAUUCGAGAUUUAGUCACAUUUAAUAGUCAUCAUCUCUCAUUCAGAGUAUAUUGUGUGAAAAUCGAACCCAAGAGCUUUUCUCACACACUCAACCUGCGUUGCCAACUGAGUUACCCAUUUUAAGUAUCAUGAAUAAAAAUUUGAAUAGGCUCGUCACCAGAGGGGAUGUACCGCCUGGCCAUCCUGGGCCUGUGCCCAGGCUCUGGCCAAAAAAAAAAAAUUUUUCUUUGGCCUAGAUCAUAAUUUAGGCCCAAAAAAAAACAAAAAAAUGGCAAAUGUAAAGGUAAGGGAAAAAUUCAGGGACUACUUUAUAAAAUGUGCCCAGGCUUCCCAAAAUUUCUGGUUCCGCCACUGCUCGUCACUCAUCACCAACACAAACCAUAAUAUUCUUGUGAGACCACAAGUCACUUAUAAUUUAGCAUCGACAACCGGAAUCAAACACGAAAGUGUUCCGUCCUUACCAACUCAUUAUUAUUUUUUAUAAUAUUUUAAUUUUAUUUUGUGUGUAGGGUAGGCCACACCACACAAGAACGCACCAUUAUUUUUUAUAAUAUUUUAAUUUUAUUUUGUGUGUAGGGUAGGCCACACCACACAAGAACGCACCAUAGAAUAUCACCAUCAGAGUACCAUACCUUCCACCAUAGAUAGAUAAGUCACUUUCAUUGUCACGCUAACAAAUUCACAUUCACAUUCAUCUCUCCCAGCGCACUUUCCGAAUUUCACGCUUGCUUCACCUUCUUCUUCCUCUUUCUCUGCUCAAUUGUUGACUGAUUCUCCAUAAUUGGAACAACUAUGGUUGAUUAGUUCAUAGAUUCCAUCUUCUUCAUUGAGUUAUCAAGUUGUGAUUGAUAGUCAUGGAAGCUAGAUUUGGCGCCGAAUCUCUGUACGAUCCGAGGGUUGUUUUGGGGAACAGGUCGUCGACGAUGGAGUGGGAUUUGAAUAGUUGGAAGUGGGACGGUGAUCUUUUCAUAGCCAGGAAGCUCACUCCGGUGCCGGAGCACCGUCAAUUCCUGCCUCCUCUCCCUGGUUCAUCCAACUCCAACACUUCCUCUUCCUGCUCCGAUGAGGCGGAUCUCAGGAUUCGAAACGAAGGGGAGAGGAAGAGGAGGGUUAUUCAGCAUGAAGAGGAUGCUGCUGGUACCCUUAGUUUGAAGCUUGGUGGUGGUAAUCUUGCUACAAUUUCUAGCUGGGAAGGGAGUAACGGGAAGAAAAGUAGAGUCGCCGGCGGAGGAGCUGCUUCGAAUCGAGCCCUUUGUCAGGUGAAGGAUUGCGGCGCAGAUCUAACCGUCGCUAAAGAUUAUCACCGGCGUCAUAAAGUUUGUGAGGUGCACUCCAAGGCUACUCAAGCCCUUGUGGGAAACGCUAUGCAGCGCUUCUGCCAACAAUGUAGUAGGUGAGUUCAUGUUCUUAGUUGUUUUUGUAUUGUAUGAGUUCCGAAUUCGCGAGACCAAGGAAUAGGUGAAAGAAUGUAUCUAAAUUCAGUACAAGGUUGCUAAGUUUGGAGUUUGGAUUUGAUUAUUCUAUUGUUUGCUUGACAUUUUUUUAACAGGUUUCACUUGCUUCAAGAGUUUGAUGAGGGAAAGAGAAGCUGUCGGAGGCGUUUGGCGGGCCAUAAUAAACGGAGGAGGAAAACGAAUCAAGAUGCUGCUCCGAAUGGAAGUUCACUAAAUGAUGAUCAGACAAGUGGUUAUUUGUUGAUAAGUUUAUUGAAGAUACUUUCAAAUAUGCAGCAAUGUAAGUAUUUAUUUGAUUUUAAAUCUGGCUGUAGAACCUAGUUGUAUCAUAUUUAUAUGAUGUUGGUUGAUGCUUGUUUGAAAUGAUGAUGAAUGGGGUUAUCUAAUGUGUAGCUAAGUGAUUUUGUUUACUAUCUAAUGGAGAAACAGUCCAAGGGAUCAUGUGUAUUUAGUUAUAUAUGUAGCUAAGUGAUUUUUUUUUCAUGAGAAUCUUCUCUUAUUGGUUCUCUCUAAUUGGUAUUUCAUUUAUGACAGAGGUGAUUUUGGGAUGAACAAUGACAUUUUUUUUAUGAAUUAUAGCUGACAGGUCAAAUCAAACAACAGAUCAGGAUCUGCUAACUCAUCUUUUAAGAAGUCUUGCUAAUCAGAAUGGUGAACAAGGAGGCAAGAACUUGUCUAACCUUUUGCGGGAACAAGAGAAUUUAUUGAAAGAAGGGAGUUCAUCUGGGAAAGCUGGGACGGUUUCCACUCUAUUCACAAAUGGUUCUCAAGGCUCCCCAUCUGUUACUAGACAGCAGCAAACAGUUUCUAUUAGUGAAAUUCCCCAUCAAGUGAUGCAUGCACAGGAUGCUAGGGCUGCUGAUCAACAAACCAUGUCUUCUACAAAGCCUAGCAUUUCAAACAGCCCUCCGGCUUACUCAGAAGCCAGAGAUAGUACUGCUGGACAGACCAAGAUGAAUAACUUUGAUCUGAAUGACAUAUAUAUUGACUCAGAUGAUGGCAUAGAAGACAUAGAAAGGUUGCCUGUCUCUGCAAAUCUGGCUACUAGCUCUCUUGAUUAUCCAUGGAUGCAACAGGAUUCUCAGCAGUCAAGCCCACCUCAAACAAGUGGAAAUUCAGAUUCUGGAUCUGCCCAGUCCCCUUCUAGUUCCAGUGGAGAAGCCCAGGUAAUUUUUUCCCCUUCUAGUUCCAAUGUUCUGGAUUGGCUGUUGCGCACAAUGCUUAUAUUACUCAUCCCCUAUGAUUGGGAUUUUGUGACUUUCCGUAGAAAUUGAGGAUAGUUUUCAGUAAUAACAACUGCUUUUGUUUGUGGUUCUUAGACUUUGUGUUGCUUCCAUAAUCUGUCAUUCAUGAUUGGUGGCAUGACUUUGAACUGCUCCUUUGAUCAUCAUUCGAUAAGAACUAGGGAAACUGAAUGUGAAAAUUGAUUAAAUCAAUCAGAAUUUCCCCAAAUUGUGGAAGAACUGAGAAAGAAAGAUGAACACAAGGGUUUCUGGAAUUUCAGAGUUCCAGGCUACCCCAGCCAAUUCAGUUUCACUUCUAACUUUAGUAACCAAUCUUACCUACCCCAAAAGGCUCAGGGUUGUGAUCCCCUGCAGUCUUCUUUCCCUUCCUACUGUAAACCUUCACUAUGGGUGGCCAGAUCGUAUCAGUCAGAUAUGAAAGCAUUCAUAUGAAUUGAGGGUGUCAUAUGAUGUUGAGUCCCCAGUAGUUGUUAUGCUAAGAAAGACCAUGUGGAAGUUUCAUAGGUGUCAGAAAUGAUACUGCUUUUUUGCUUGCAGAGAUUUUUGUGUUGCAAUUGGCUACUUGAUAUCUGAUUUUCUUGUAUGAAGUUGUAUUCUGGUUCUAGCUCCUUCCGGUGUUCGCAUGAAUGAAGCCUUAUUGCCUUUUUAUGUUACAUUUAUAGAAUCUUGAGAUUGUCAUCAUUUAAUAACUAAUUUGUUUGUUUCUACCAUUUAGAGUCGCACGGAUCGUAUUGUUUUCAAACUCUUUGGUAAAGAACCAAGUGAUUUUCCUCUUGUACUUAGAUCACAGGUACAUUUAGUUUUUUAAAGCAUUUAAGAGUAACUGUUGUUUAUUUCUUCCUUUAAAAUGUAAUCAUGCUAUGGUUUUGGGUUCCAGAUUCUUGAUUGGUUAUCCCAAAGUCCUACUGAUAUUGAGAGCUAUAUACGGCCUGGUUGUAUCAUUUUGACUAUUUAUCUGCGUCAGGCUGAGGCUGUCUGGGAAGAGGUAAGCAUUUUCCUUCUAAAGCUACUCACUCGUGUGCGCCAGUGAUCAUAUCUGUGAUUAAGGGACACUCUUUGACCUUAUACGUUUCUCUCCUCUCUUUUUUUUCCUCCUACAGCUUUGCUAUGAUCUGACUUCCAGCUUGAAUAGGCUUCUGGAUGUCUCAGAUGAUCCUUUUUGGAGAACUGGAUGGGUUCACAUAAGGGUGCAACAUCAGAUAGCCUUCGUUUUCAAUGGUAUUUUCCAAUAUUUCUAUUGUUGUCUUGUCUAGCUGCUAAGAGAACAGGAGUGAAAUUUUGUUGAAGUAUUCAAUUAAGUCUUUCAACCAUGAUUUUGGCAAUCAAAUUACAUUAAUUGCUUAGAAGUCAAAAGUCCUUUCUAUGACCAAUUUUAUACAUCAAGGUCUUAUAUCGACAUCUAUUUCAAGCCAUUGCCACAUAAGUUGAUUUGAUGCACUUGAUUGAAUGCUGAUCUAAUUUUAUCCACAUAGCCGUCAUUAUUAUUAUGCUUAGUACACAGAGCAACCACCAUAUCAAUCAGAAUAAAUGAUGUUUAUUUAUAUGAAUAGUUUCUUACUGCAAAUUUUCUGCUGCAGGUCAGGUUGUUAUAGAUACAUCCUUACCUUUCAGAAGUCACGAUUAUAGCAAGAUUUUAAGUGUUAGUCCAAUUGCUGUACCAGCAUCGAAGACAUCUCAAUUUUCUGUUAAGGGUAUCAACCUGAAUCGCCCCGCCACUAGGUAGUCUUUACCUGUUGCUAUGUGAAAUACAAAAACACUGCUCAUGUAAACUUAAUGCAAAAUUCUGAAAGUGUCUUGGACCUGCUCUUUAAUACUUGUAUGUGUGUGUGUAUAUAUUGUUAUAUAUUGCUAUAGCACAUGAACCUCAAACCUAUUCCUUCAGGUUACUGUGUGCUAUAGAAGGGGAUUAUCUGGCAUGUGAAGAUGUUAAUGAGUCUACAGAUCAACACUCCAAGGAUCUUGAUGAGCUUCAGUGCAUCCAGUUUUCAUGUUCUGUCCCUGUGAUGAAUGGAAGAGGAUUUAUUGAGGUGCUCUUUGUUUGCUCUCACAAAUUAUAUAUUUAGAAUUUUAUAUAUUUUACAUAAUUGCAACUGGCCAUUAGGGAUGAUCAAUGGAUAGAAUAAAACAACAUCAAGAAAAAGGUCUUUCAUAUGAUUUCUGGUAGUGGUUCUUCAUUGAUAGGCCAUCUAAGAGGACCACUACACCUGCUGAAGAACAAAACCUCAUUGCAUUAUGUCCUUGGAUUUUAUGCGUUAAGUUCAAUGAAAGAUUCAUCAUCUUUUGGUUGGGGAGAAUGUCUAUACUUAGUCAUUAGAUUGGUUAUCUAAUAUCCUGAAUUGUAAUCUCGAUGUACUGGACCAACUGGUAAUAUUUAUACAUUCUUGGCUUCUUAGGUUAAAUUUUUAGGGAAGGAACAAAACCCUCCCCACGGUUGGUUUCAAGGAUGAUGAAGGACCAGUCAUACCUUCAUUUUGGUGUAAUGGGAGUCAUAUAUGUUGUAGUGGUGGUUUGAACUACCUUCUUGAUUGUUUUUUUAUAGAUUUCUUGGUUACUAAGACUGAUAGUCAUAUAGUGUAAUACGCUAAUCAUAGUAUUAGUAAAUGAGAUGGAAGUUGUUGCUGCAUACACAAGUAGGUUGAGGAAGUAAGGAAAGUAUGGUGAGGUUAAGAAGGAUACCUGAAUGUGAUAUCUGUUUUUGAUAUUGUAUUCCACUUAUACUGCGCUCUUUAUGCUAAGUGUAAAGUAAUAAAUAUGUAUUGCUUAUUAUAUGGUUUAUAGUUUUUACUUUUAUGUAAUUUCAUGCACACUGAUUACUUAAAGUGUUGUCAAUGUCCUGAUCUAUAUGUUGUCAUUUAAUUUUUAUCGACAUUUAGAUGUAUCCUUGGAAAUUUGUCAUAUUCUGAGCUGAAUAUAACCAAAUCUGCAUCAAUGUUAUGUACCUGAGCUUUACUUUUUAUUUUCUUAAUUAUGUCAGAUUGAGGACCAGGGGUUGAGCAGCAGCUUUUUUCCUUUCAUUAUCGUGGAGGAGGAUGUUUGCUCUGAAAUCUGUGUGCUUGAGCCUUUACUAGAAUUAAAUGAUACUGAUCCAGAUAUUGAAGGGGCUGGAAAACUUAAAGCCAAAUCUCAAGCCAUGGAUUUCAUUCAUGAAAUGGGUUGGCUUCUCCACAGAAGCCAAUUGAAAUCUCGGAUGGUUCACUUGAACUCUAGCGAAGAUCUUUUUCCAUUAAAUCGAUUCAAUUCGCUAUUGGAUUUCUCUGUGGAACAUGAUUGGUGUGCAGUAGUUAAAAAACUGUUGAACCUCCUGCUUGAUGGAGCUGUGCAUACAGGAGAUCACCUUUCCCUGUCUCUUGCACUUUCAGAGCUCGGCCUCCUUCAUAAAGCUGUAAGGAGAAAUAGCAGGAAAUUGGUGGAGCUACUUUUGAGAUAUGUUCCUGAGAGUACUUCUGAUAAACUAGGACCUGAAGACAAGGAACUUGUUGAUAGAAAGAACCAGGUCUUCUUGUUUAGACCUGAUGCUGCUGGUCCUGCUGGUUUGACACCACUCCACAUAGCAGCUGGGAAAGAUGGUUCUGAGGAUGUACUGGAUGCUUUAACUAAUGAUCCUUGCAUGGUAAACUUUCUUUCUUCUAUCUUAAAUUAAGAAUCGAGUUAUUUAGCAGGGGUGAGACAUUCUUGUAGAUUCCAUUUGGAUCUUCACUACAUUUAAUUCUUGCACAGAUUAUAGCCUAGGAAGCACGGACACUUCAAAACAGAGGCGUGUCCGCGUGUCGGACACGCGGGCGACACGGACACGCCGCCGACACGUUGCGGACACGUGUCGGACACGUCUGGGGCGUGUCUGAAUAAAAAAUUAUUAUUUCUUGGCUCGGACACGGCUAGGACACGGCUUGUUUAUUGAGCCGACACACCUUUGUGGCUGGACACAUAUAGGGGACACUUGGACUGUUUUUUUAUUAUUUUCUGACUUAAAAAAAAAGAUAAAUUAAAAAUAAAACAAACUUUAUCUAAUUAAAAAUAAAAAAAACCUUAUCAAAUCAGGUCUUGUGAACAUAUUAUCAUGUUUAUAUAUAUAUAUAUAUAUAUAUAUAUAUAUAUAUAUAUAUCUUGCUGGACUGCUGAUUUCAUAGUUGCACUAUCCUGUUUUUUCUAUGUAAUCGUGCAUGCUCUAGACUUGGGCUCAAUCACAAGCUGGCUCUUCACAUUCAUGUCAUCUAUCUGCUAUUGUUGCUUCUGUUUUCUUUUUAUUUCUGCAUUUGUAUCUUUCCUGUAACCGUUUUAUGUUGCAGAGGUUAUAACCUCUUGCUUUUUGUACUUUGACUCCUUUUUUUCAAUAUAUAUAUUAUCAUUUAUCUCUAAUAUAUAUAUAUAUAUAUAUAUAUAUAUAUAUAUAUAUAUAAAAGCCGUGUCGGCGUUCCCGCCCGUGUCCGUGCUUCAUAGAUUAUAGCCCAUUAUUUCCCAAAUCUUGCAUUAUAACUGUUAUUUGAAUUGUUGUCACGCUUCUACUCCUUGAGUUGAAUUAUUUACAACUUAGGUUUGUUGAAUUUAUUAGCAUCUUCUUGGUACAAAACAGUCCUGUAUAUACUUGUGCCACUGAUAAUAUCACGCCCUGGGUAUAGUUGAAAAUGGCCUCUAUGAUGAUCCCCUUUUGAAAAACAUUUUCAUGUCAAGUUGAAAACCAAGAGUAUUAUGUUUAUCUUAGUGAUAUUUAGUUUUUCAUCAUAACUUUUUAAUUCAGGUGGGAGUUGAAGCAUGGAAGACUGCUCGUGACAGCACUGGCUCCACACCUGAAGAUUAUGCACGUUUACGUGGGCAUUAUACUUACAUUCACUUGGUGCAAAAGAAAAUCAACAAGAGACAAGUAGGGUCUCAUGUGGUUGUUGACAUUCCCAACAAUCUGACCAGGUUCAAUGCAAACGAGAAACAAGAUGAGUUGUUGUCCACUAGCUUUGAGAUUGGAAAGGCUGAAGUCAAAAGUGUCCAAAAGCUCUGCAAACUUUGUGAUCUUAAGUUAUCUUGUAGAACUGCUGCAGGCAGGUCCUUGGUGUACAAACCUGCAAUGCUGUCAAUGGUGGCCGUGGCAGCAGUUUGUGUCUGUGUGGCUCUUCUGUUUAAAAGCUCACCAGAAGUUCUGUAUAUAUUCCGACCCUUCAGGUGGGAAUCGUUGGAGUUCGGGACAAGCUGAGGUAAUUAACUUACAAAUUUGAUAGGCAAUGUAAUGUGAUAGGAUGCGUUGUUUAGACUGUAUGAGUAUGACCGAGAUUUCCAGCAGGAGCGUUUCUUUGUAUUGGCUAAAUUGUGUAAUGAUAUUUACAUAUGUAUUAGGGAUGUGGUUCCUUGUGUGACUGCAUCUGCGUGUGUGGAUUUGGUUUUAUUUUUCUUUCUCAAACCCCAUUUGGUAGAAUCCUUCUAUGAUGGUGUAAUACUUGUAAGUUGUAACCUUCAGUUUUGCAUUGUAGCAACAAUAACGAGCGUAUUUAAAUGAUAUUUGUAUUGAACAAAAAUAAAGAACAUUGAUAAUCAUAUAAAAUGACUGUCUGGUUAUAUCUUUGUUUGAUUUCAUUUUAUUUUCCUGUAUUGUCUUUUUCUUUUUUCUUUUUGUAUUGGGUUGAAGUACUCCUUGUACUUCUUUCGUAAUACAAUUCUUUGCCUAUCAAAAAAAAUAUAUAUAUAAAAUGACUGUCCGGUGUUUUUUUUUUCUUUUUCUUUUCUGUCAAAUAUGUUCAGAUUAAAACUCAAAGGGUUGCCUAGUGGCAUUUAUAUCAUGUGGGAAUAAAAUCUCAAAAGACGAUACUGCAAUGUAAUUAGAUAAGUAAAUUAAGAACAAAAUAUGUUCACUCAAGUUGAUACAUCUAAUUGAUACAUGAAGUUAAAACACUAAAGCCAUACAAAAACCUAUAAACCCAUGAAACAAGCUCACUUAUGAGUGAAACAUUGUUUUUCUAUUUUAAUCAGCGCUCCAAACUCUUACAAUUCAUUUCGCUCUGUUGGAAUUGCAAUCUAUGCAGCUUCUAGGGAGGCUAACAUUGCGCCUGCAAUGACAACAAAACAAACAAUCAAAAAACUAAUGUGGGAGAGGAAGAUGGUGGCAGCGGAGGUGGCUAAGAUAUAUGUAGUGAAAGUGGAGGCAGCAUGGCAGAAGCAAAGGCGCGGAAGCAAAAGAGCCGGUAGAUGUGGCAGUGGAGGAAGAGGUGGAUAGUGGUAAAUUAAAGAUGGAUGACGAAGAAGGAGGAAAACAUUUUUGGGUGUAGUGUCAAGGUGUGGUGGUGCUAAGUAGAGAGCAUUGUAACAUUGCGCCUGCAAUGACAACAAAACAAACAAUCAAAAAACUAAUGUGGGAGAGGAAGAUGGUGGCAGCGGAGGUGGCUAAGAUAUAUGUAGUGAAAGUGGAGGCAGCAUGGCAGAAGCGAAGGCGCGGAAGCAAAAGAGCCGGUAGAUGUGGCAGUGGAGGAAGAGGUGGAUAGUGGUAAAUUAAAGAUGGAUGACGAAGAAGGAGGAAAACAUUUUUGGGUGUAGUGUCAAGGUGUGGUGGUGCUAAGUAGAGAGCAUUGUAACAUUGCGCCUGCAAUGACAACAAAACAAACAAUCAAAAAACUAAUGUGGGAGAGGAAGAUGGUGGCAGCGGAGGUGGCUAAGAUAUAUGUAGUGAAAGUGGAGGCAGCAUGGCAGAAGCGAAGGCGCGGAAGCAAAAGAGCCGGUAGAUGUGGCAGUGGAGGAAGAGGUGGAUAGUGGUAAAUUAAAGAUGGAUGACGAAGAAGGAGGAAAACAUUUUUGGGUGUAGUGUCAAGGUGUGGUGGUGCUAAGUAGAGAGCAUUGUGGUGUGUAGAAUAUCCCCAACGAAGCAUAACAGGGGAGUUACUUGUAAAAGACACUCUUAGAAGAACAAUAAAUGAGAAAAAUGAGUAAUACUUGACUUACACAACGACCAAACUUGUAUUUAUAGUGGUUGAGUCGUGUAGUAGUGAGAGUACGUACUUAACCUUUACUAAACUGUCUUAAGACCAGCUUCUACUUAGUCAUUUAUUUGAUCAGACUAUCUUUUGAUGAAAGUCCACUUUACUUUUUGGUCAUCCUAACUAGUUGACCAGCACGAUGUUCACUUAUUUGUGGGUUUUUAACUCACCUAAGACAAUUAUGAGUUAUAUGGUUAUUUCGGUCUGCCAUAACACAUAUAUCAUGUUGGGCCCUCUAACUCGAUCUCUUUUUCUCUCCUUAAUUGAAUGAAAUGGCCUCAAUUCAAUGCAUAUAUAUCAACAUUACAAUGUGGGCGCAGUAGUUCAAUUUACACGAAUUUGAAUGUGCACGGCAUGGUGGUGGGUGGCUACCGGUUGGCAGCAAAUAGAAAAAGAAAACCCACUAUAAAUAUUUUCCCUUCAAGAUCAAUCAGCUAGCUAUCACGGCAUGCUGGUGCUGCCCAUUCAUGGUAGUAGGAAAUACCAGCUUGCUAUUUUCAAAGCUAUCACGACAUGGUAAAUUUCCACUCAAGUCUUUGUCCUGGUACUUUAUCACUGCAAAAAAAAAAGCAAUUAAAGUUUAUUUUUCUGCUUCUGAAACAUGGAUAAUGAAGCAAGUAAUCAGUUGGGUUGUAAGUGGUCUGAAGUUUAUUUAGUGCUCAUUCCAAUAAUUGGUUGUUAGUUACUCCCUCUAUGGAUUUCAAAAAACAUUCCGCAGUACCUUGAGAAGCACACUACAUUGCACGGGGUUAGUGGAGAUGAGUAGAUGUCGAAGAAUCCAGGUUUGAAAGUGAAUGGAAAGCUCAUUUUCCAUAAGCGCGCGAGACAGGUGAUGUAUCACGCGAAGGUUUUCAGAACGUUGUAGCUUAACGUCAACUCCGUUAUUUCACCCUGCUCUGCUGACUGGCAGGAAAGCGCAAGCAAAUAUAACUCACUUCAAUCUAAAAACUAUUUAUCAGAAAAACAAGCAGAGAGAAAUUUGUUUUUAGCGACGGAAAACGAACUUGUCACAGAAUCCUUGUCACUCAGUUUGCGACAGAAAAUAACCUGUCAAUAACUUUUGCGACGGAAACAAAUUACGCCACAACAUUCUUGAAAGCUUAUUUGCGACAGAAAUAAAUCCGUCACAAAGUAUUUGUCAGCGAGUUUACGGCAAAAUCACAUCCACCACAAAAUCAUUGUAAACGAAAUUAGCGACAGAUAUUGAGAGGGAAUUUAUCCGUCGCUAAUUCCACAUCAAACCAACAAAUUUGUGACGGAUUAGUUUAAUUGUUUUUAACCUAUAUAUUUUUGGUAAAUUGUUUUCUCUUAUACAUUAUUUAAAAAAGAAGUUCUUUUUGGGUGGACCCAUCAUCGUAACUGGGCCUGAGCCCGACCCAUGUCUAUAACCGCAUUGUUCAACUGUAACCCCUGUUGCUAGGACUGUUCAUGGUUCUCUGAGAACCGAAGCUAACCAAGAACCGAACCGAAAACCGAACCGUUUAAGAACCGAACCUUUAAGAACCGAACCGAACUCGAACCUAAAUUGAAAAAUCGGUUCGGUAACCGAACCAAAAUAUCAACUACCAAUUCAGGUUCGGUUCGGUUCGAACCAUAGUAUAUCGGUUCGGUUCGGUUCGAACCAUCUAUAAAUAUGCAUAUUUUACCGAACUGGUUAACCAAAAUUUGUAACCGGUUCGGUUCGGUUCGAACCAUACUAUAUCGGUUCGGUUCGGUUCUCUCGAACCAAAAUUUUGGUUCAGGUUCGGUUCGGUUCGGUUCAAGCAAAGAACCGAACCAUGAACAGUCCUACCUGUUGCUAUGAAGUAACUCCCAUUUUACCUCUUAUAUUGUCUUUUUUUUAGUUCCUCUGCUUUCCUACUCUAUGGUGUAAGAUCCAAAUGUCUUGAAUCGUUAUAGUUAUUGGUAAACUUGAAUCAGUUGAGGUUAGGCAUCCUUAGAAGCUUUUUAAAUUGCAAAAUUCAAACUUGACUCUGUUUAAUAAUUUAAGGUGUCGGGAUAGUUAUAUAUUAUAUUUGAUUUUAAUGAGAUUGUUCUCCCAUCAAAUUUAAAGUAAUAAUUGUCAACAUGGAUUGGCACCACUGGCUUCAGGUUUUGGGUUCAACACUGACCUUUCUAUAGAUUGAGAGUUCGAAUUUCCUUGGAGUCUGUAAAAUAUCAGUUGGUAGGCAACUCUCCUUGAGGAGAUCCCUCGGCGCUCCUACACAGGAGUGGGCCCCUGCUGGCCUCCUCAGCAUGUCACUGCGUCGUGGCGGGUAGUUUAGGGGUGCUUCCCUCGGCGCUCCUACCCAGGAGUGGGUCUUGCCUAGCCUUCCCAACAUGUCAUUAUCGUCCUAUCUGAUAGUCCGAUGAUGAUUUCUCUUUGUUCUAACAUUUUAUAUCUAAAAAAAUUAAAAGUAAUAAUUUAAUCAGGAAGUAUAUUAAGGUGCCCGGAUAGUUAUAAAAUUAUAUUUGACAGUUAACUUGCUAGAAAACAAAUGGUAUAUUACCGCAUUUAUCUACUCUGGGGUAUUUUAGUUUGCAUUUUGGUACCACCAUUACAAAUACUAGAAGUUCAAUUCUUUUUGGGUUGCCCUUAAGUUCCCUUAAGGCAAUGGACAUAUGAUUCAUUUAUAUACUAUCUAACACUCCCCUUUUUAGUCAAUACAAGACUUCUUUAUUUAUUUUUGUUUUCUUACUCAUGUUUGAAGAAUUUCUAACAAUCCUCCAUCAAGUGCGAGUUAUUAUUAGGAUUGUAACCAUUGAUUCUGACAUCGGUUGUUAUGACACAUGAAUGAUUAUAUUUUUAACUCGCUCCUAACGCAAGAGCCCACUUUGGCUUGAAACAAGAAAAUUCCACAUACACACCUACCAUCUAGAAGAAUUGAGAGUAACAGUGAUCAAACAGUAGACCACUCUCUAUUUAACAUGUGAUUUUGAACAAGAUGAGUCUAAAGCUUUAGAAGAUGAGGAUGUUCGUCAAACUUGUGCAUUAGCAAUCAUAACUCGUCAAACUUCUACAUUAGCAAUCGUAGUUGAGAUGACAAUUGGGUCAUCCAAAUCGACUAGAAUUCUCUUGCCUUUGCACUAGCAAAGUUUUUCAUUUAAAUGGCUAAUACUCUCGUCUCUCUUUUCAUCUUGUGUUUAUUUCUCUUUUUUCCUCUUUUCUUGAUGAUUUUUCUAGUAUUCUCUCAUCAUCCCAAUCUUUUUUAUGUUGUAGUUUUAUCCUUUGGGGUUCGCUCGUACUUUUUUGCUUAUCUAACUCUUAAACUUCCAACUCCAAGUUUUAAAUUUCACACCGUUUUCAAUGGAUGUGAAACUUUGCUUGACAUUGGUGAAGUAAAUUGAGUUCGCUUCACAUCCCUUAAAUGCUUGCGCAAGUAGAGAAGUAGGCUCAUUGGAACCAACAAAUAAAACUCAAUCAAUGCAAACAAAUCUUCUUCACCCACUUGUUCUUCGCAAAGNNNNNNNNNNNNNNNNNNNNNNNNNNNNNNNNNNNNNNNNNNNNNNNNNNNNNNNNNNNNNNNNNNNNNNNNNNNNNNNNNNNNNNNNNNNNNNNNNNNNCAUCUAUAAGUUUGUUUUAUAAGUUUUUCAUUGGUGAAAUUUGUCCUUAUAAAACAAAGUAUUUUGUGGUGUAUAGACUCGACUUUGCGAAAAACAAGUGAGUGAAGAAGGUUUGAUUACAUUGAUUGAGUUUUAUUUGUUGGUUCCAAUGAGCCUACUUCUCUACUUGCGCAAGCAUUUAAGGGAUGUGAAGCAAACUCGAUUUACUUCACUAAAGCCAAGCAAAGUUUCACAUAUGUUGAAAGCAAUGCAAAACUCAAAACUUGGAGUUGGAAGUUCAAGAGUUUGAUAAGCAAAAGGCCAGAUGAAGCUCGAGGAAGCCCAAAAGGAUAACUACAACAAAAAAAGAUGGAAAUGAAGAGAGAAUACUAGGAAAACUCAACAAGAAAUGGGAGAGAAGACAAAUAAACACAAUAUUCUUAGAUUUAUAUAUUAGUGAGUUAUUUGAUGGAAAAUCAAGAAAUCAAUUGGUUGUACCAUUAGGAAUCAUCAAAUAACCAUAGUUCCUUUAAGAUUUAAGCAAGAUGAUUACACACUUUCAUCAAACAGUUAAGAGGCAGGUAAUGAAAUUUGAAACAUCUAAUUCAAAAAUGAAGAUCCAAAUCUGAUCUAUAUAUCAAAUUGAGUCUUAGAACAAGUAGAUGAAGGAUCAGUCUUCAUAUAUUCAAGACAAGCAAGUAGGAGAUCUAGAUCUAGAAGACAAAUUUCAUGAAGAACAUGUGAUGAAAUCAAGAACGAGGCACAUAAAUCUCAGUUCUCUCACCCACGAAAUAUAAUCCAAUACUCAUGCAUUAAACAAUUUUUCACUGAUUAAAUUGCUCACAAAUUAUAGAUCUAUCCACAACUCAACUAGAUCUACAAGAAUCUAGCAGGUUUGGACCAAAGAGGAACAUAUCACGAAAUAUGAACAAGAGCAGCAAGUUUUCGUUCAUUCUUUGAUCUAUUAAGAUAAAAAGAAGACAAAUCCGUCGAACAAAUGAAAGAAAAACUCUAGAUCUAGAUGAAACAAGCCUAGAUCUAGCAAGAAACAAACAAAAACUUAUAGAAAAUUGAAAAAUGAAGACUAUCAUCUCAUGAUUUCGAUUUAGCCAUUUGUAGAUCUUCAAACUAUAUAUCUCCAAGGAGAAAGAGGCUCAAUGAUACCAAAUGAUGUAAACAUGAAUACAGAUUAUAAAAUAAUAAAAUAAAAACAAAGAUGAAAUGAGGUAACGACAACCACAAAAAAUGUAUAAUAGAAUGCGAGUUUUGUGAUAAAUGUCGAUCUUAGACCUUAGUCUUAGAUUCUCUUGAGUGAUGAAACAUGAGAAGGAACUCCCGUUAUAUAGGUGAAGGAGAUGGAAGAGUAGACAAGUCUUGGCAAUGUGGAACUAAAAGAUGUUGAUCGAUGGUUGACUUUGAUGUAAAAUUUCAAUUUUCUUGACAACUUUAACAUGUUUUUUGACUAUCCAAGCAUUGGAAUUAGGUCUUGAUUCCUGUCAAAGAAUUGUAUGUGUAAACAUUGUCUUUCGAAUGCCACUAAUUUCAUACAAAGUGGACAUCUACGACUCUAGAUAUGAGUCAUCUUUUACCUUUAUCUUAACAUGUUGAAGCAAAAAUGACAUAGUAAACAUCUAAUUUAGCUCUUGGAAUGUUCAUAAUAUAUGUGGAUAUUUGUUCUAGCUUUCCAACAAGAUAAAAUUCACCUCAAUAUCAUUUACAUGGCGUAAAAUGCACCCAAGAGAUAUGAGUAAUCUCAAAUGUUUUUACUGUGGAGAAUUUGGUCACAUACAAGUUAAAUGUACAGAAUUCAUAGAGGAUAACGGAGAAGAUAGGAAAAUUGAAGAGUGUUCAUUUUGCAAACGUGGUCAUAUGAAGAUAAUCUUUUACUCUGUGAUGAUGAAGUUGAUGAGAAAAUGAAAAAUGUGAGACUUUAGAUGAAGGGAGGAUGUGUUAUGCCAAAAAGAGUAUUCAUCUAGGUUCGACAUCAAGUAGUGUGAAUAAAUAGAGAACGUUUGUGCGUAGUAAGUCCCACAUCGAAUAGAUAUGAGUACUUUCAUGUGGAUAAUCAUUUAAGUUAAAUAUGAGUAAUUUAAAGUUUUUUUAUUGUGGAGAGAUUGGUUGCAUACAAUUUAAAUGUCCAGAAUCCAUGGAAUAUCUGAAAAACCUAAAGGAGGUGAUAUGAAAAUUAAAGAGUGUUCAUUCUACAAACGUGGUCAAUUAUGAUGAUAAUCUCUUACUCUGUGAUGAUGAAGUUGAUGAGAAAAUGAAAAUGUGAGACUUUGGAUGGAGGGAUGAUAUGUUAUACCAAAACGAGUAUUCAUCUAGGUCCCACAUCAAGUAGGGUGAAAAGGACAAAAUAGAGAAAGUUGGUGCUUAGUCAAGUCCCACAUCGAAUAGAUAUGAGUACUUUCAUGUGGAUAAUCUCUGAAGUUAAUAUGAGUAAAUUCAAGUGUUUUUAUUGUGGAGAGAUUGGUUGCACACAAGUUAAAUGUCCAGAAUUCAUGGAGGGUCUGAAAAGCCUAAAGGAGAAUAUAGAAAAAUUGAAGAGUGCUCAUUCUAAAAGACAUGGUCAGGUAUGGCGAUAAUCUUUUACUCUGGGAUGAUGAAGUCGAUGAGAAAGUGAAGAAAUGUGAGAUUUUGGAGGAAGUGAGAUAUGUUGAGCCAAAAUGAAUAUUCAUCGAGGUCCUUCAUCAAGUAGUGUGAAAAAGAAAGAAAUAUAGAAAGUUGUUGUUUCCACAUUGAAUAGGGUGUAGGAGAAAGAAGUGGAGAGUUAUUAUAAAUAUAGAGAGUUUCUUUGAGCUUCAUUGACCAUAAAAAUUCUAUUCACUUGGGUGUAUUGGACUAGCAAUUAUGUCCUUAAACUCUGGGUUUAUUUACCGUACACAAGUUUUUCCUUGUGUAAGGUUGCACAACCCUAGAAAAACCUUCUAUAGCAGGUUCCCUCCCAGGUUAUUUAUUUUUGAAUUUUUUAUUUUACUAAAUUAUGUUCUGGCCUACUAGUUUCUUAAAAUAUAAAAAUUCCCCAAAUCUAUUAUUGAUAACAACAAGUUUUACCCUGAGCCAAUUUGGACCCUGUCAUCAUGUUUCAUUCCUCAUACCCCCUCUUCCCAUCUUCCCUACCAUCAUCGUCUAUCUCGCAGUGUGCCGAGCUUCUCCGAGAGGGAUUGUUGACGGCGUGCGCGGUGUGGUUGUGAUUCCUUGAAACUGCACGAUGUUCAGAUUUGCAGAUCUGGGAUGGUGGAUCUUCAAAUUGGGGAGGGGAUUUCGGUUAGCCAUUUCUGGGAUCUGAGGGAGGUUGACGACACCUUCACCAAAGCUUCCCGCCGCCGACCAAGCCCGUUAGAUCUGGGUCGCCAAAACCUUUCUGCGACAGAUCUGAUUUAUGGGUUGUGCAUUUGUGGUUUCGACUUCAAACACCAAACCCAGCUUCUUCUUCCCUUCGAUUCUGUAUAAUUUAUGGGUUGGGAGUUUGGAUCUGAGGUUUGUGAGAGUAACUGAUGAGUCCUGGAUUGGGGGUUUAGAUUUUAGUUGUAUGAAUCUGUAUUUUCUAUAAUUUGAAGAAUGAUGUAUUUGUUCUUGAAUCUGAGCAUGUAGAGUUUAAAGAAUGUAUAUUAAAUCUGGAUUUUGUGAUAUUACAGUUUCAAGAAUGCAAAAUUUUCUUUGAUGUUUGUCUGGUUUAGAAGUUGGGAAGAUGUGUGGAGCUUAGUUUGCUGUGCUGUUGCGUUUUAUCAUUAUGGAGCUUGGUUCUAAAACAAAACAGAAACAGAAUUUGGCAACUUUUAAUAUAUCAAAUUUCUGUUGUUUUAAAAAAAAAUUGAUUACGUGAUCCAUAUUUUUUUAAAAAAAUGAAGAUGAUGAUGUUUAAAUUAGGUUGGUAUCGGUGAUGGUGGUGGUAACUUCUGGGUUGGGAGUGGUGUGGAGAGGUUGAAUUAGAUGAAGUAUGAGGUUUUAAUUAUGAUUUCUGUUACAUAUGAGCUAAAACUGAAAAUACAUUUUGUAUUUAUUUUUAAAUGAAAAAGACUGGAACCACCUGCUGUAGAAGGUUUUACUAGGGUUGUGUAACCUUGCACAAAGAAAAAAUUGUGCACAGUAAAUGAACCCUUAAACUGUAUAGAGAGAGUUUGCAAUU
rnacentral:lncRNA from 1 species